AAAAAUGUCAAAUGAAAUUUAUACAAACUGGAUGUCAGACAAUCUACAAUAAAGCAUUACAUCAACCAUGACACAGCAGAUGAACCAGCUUGAAUUUAUCCAAACGACAAACAACAAGUCUUCAGACUCUGUCACACACGCCAGGUAAUAACAACAUAACAAUUCACCAAGGUUCCGAUUGACUGACUAUAACGAUAGUACGAGCAAAGCUACUGCAGAAACGAGUACCACGACGGCCUAAAGAGCGAACUAGACGGCUUCUGCUACAACCAAACCAUACAAAUACUAUGCCUCCCCGAAAGAGCAGAGAUUCAGAGGGCGCGACCAAGACGAACCAAUCACCUGAACUUCGGCUUCUUCGAGGGCGGCCCUCCCUUGGAGCUACUGGGAGGCGGGCGAGACUUGUUGCCGCUGCUGCUGCCACCACGCUGCGGCAGCGGAGCAUGCUUGCUGCUGCUAGGACCACGCUGCGGUGGUGCGCCCGACUUGCUGAAGGUCUUGACCUUGCGGCGCCUCCUUUCUUCCUCGCUGUCAGACUCUGCGCCAUGAUCCCGGUCCGCGUUGGUCGCCUCCCGCUCCAGCUCGUCCCAGGUCUUGCCCUUCUCUUCCUCAGAGUCUUCAUCAGAAUCCUCUUCCUCAUCCUCGUCUGAUUCCACCAAGGACGCGCUGUCGGAGUCUUCCUCUUCUGAUUCAGACUCAGGCUCAGCAUCAGAAGGCUCAUACCCCUGGUCCGAUUCCUCUGUUUCCUCUGCCUCAGAAUCACUUGCCUCCAUGUUCAGGAACUCCCAGCCACCAUCGUCAACAAACUUCUGAGGAUCAUCAAUGAUAGUCUUCAGGAUAGGACGCCAGUUCAGAUUCAGCCUGCUCUCAUAGUACUUGAGAUCAGUGGUGUCCAGCCACUCCUUUAUAGCGUCAAGUGAGGUUGACGGGAUGGAGUCGAUGCGGAGAACAUCCUUCUUGAAGUCCUUGAACACGAUAGCCAUGUCAAAGUUCUUUGUUCCAAAGCCCACCCUCUCCAGAUUAACAAUCUCUAUCUCACCCAGGGUCACCACCAGGAAGGGGGUCUCAAUCAGCUCAACCAAGCAAGUUGAAGUUGGAAUGAUGAAAGCUGAAGCUUUAUACGGCACCCCAUGGAACCCGAGCUCUCUAAGAGGGAUAUCAAACUCCAGAUCAAGCCCCUUGAACUGUGGUUGCGACCAGUGGUCAUUAACCUUGUUGAUAUAGUUCUGGAACUCCAUGUUGAUUCUGUUCUUCCGGUCCCUCUCACGCUGCUCUUCUUCAAUCUCAUCAGGAUCAAGGGCUGACCUCCUGCUGCCACCAACAGUUUGAACAACAUCCAUCACUUCAACAUAAAACUGGACAUCCUUCGUCUUCUUGUUUCCAACCAUGAUAUGGUUGUGCAGAUGGAAAUGAAGGAGGGUAAUCAUUUCUUUCUCUGCUGGCUGGAAGAAAGCAUGUUUUAUAUUCCCGUACAUGAUAUCCACACGCUCAUCAGCCCGUGAAGUGGAAUAUCUGAAACCAUUAACAUGGGCCUCAAGAGUUCCUGUCAGCUUUCUCCCACGACCACCAAAUGGAGGCCUUAUCCAGACAUCAUUAAGCCUCAUUUGCUUUGUUUUGUUGCUUGCCUGCUGGAGCUUCUCCUGGGUAACAAGGGUGGCCCUUUCAGCUCUCUCUGACUCCCUUGAAGCUACUUGCCUCCUCAAUGUUUUGAUCUGCUGCACAACUUCACUGCUAUGCCGUGGAUCCUUCGAGCGGAAUGUAAUCUCUUUCAAGUAGAUAGCUCCUUGAGACUUCAGAUCUUUGUCAUUUGAGAAUGGCAUGCCAGGUACAUUGAAGAAAAUGCGGAUAGUGCAGGUGCGGUUGUCCUGGUGGCUGGUCACACUCUUAACAGUAGAAACAUGGAAAGGGACCAUACUGCCAUAUAUAGGUAAGAGAACAGCUUCAUUCCUCUGAUCUACUUGUAUCACCAACUCUCUCGAAUAAGGUACAUCAUUCACAUUCUUGUACGCAACAAGCUCAUUUGAAUUCCUAGAAGGACCACGGCCAUCACCAUUACCAGAACCACCCCCAGCAAGCCUUCUAGCAGUCUCUUCAUUCUUUUGACGAGCAAGUUCAGCCUGGUGCUGUCUCCGGAGCUCUUCCUUGGACAUCUCCUGGUUGUCUGACCGAAGUGUUGCCUUGGAUGGUAGUGCUUCCACGCCAUUUGGCUCAACCUUAGCCCGCUUCGGCUUCGGAACUUCCUCCUCAUCUUCAUUAAAUGAAUAUGCAACAUCUUUAACAGCCUUGGAGCAAUUGGUCAAGAUCUCUGCAGCCUUGUCAUUAACUAAAGCUGUAUCAGCUAAUAACAAAGAGAACUGCUUUGUCUUCUCAUUGUUUGUUUCUGCCUGUAUAUUACUCAAACCAAGGUUGACAUUGAAAAUCAUUCCCUCUUUUAUCAGACGGUCAUUCUUGGCAUUCAAGUUUAAGCCAGAUUCUCGGAACUCAAGGCCAAUUCCAGUUCCAGCUGACUUUGUUAGAUUAGGAAGCAGUUCAGGGGCAUUCUUCUCAAACACUGCAACUGCAGCCUUAAAAACUGCAGACAUCUGAUUGCCUGGUUUACAUGCUGCUAAAGCAGCUUCCUGAGCUUUCAGAAGUGUCUCAUACGCCUUACUCUGUGCCGGGGUAGCAUCUAUCAAAAAUGUUCUGGCAACAUUGGAACAGUAGUUACUGUACCUGGACCCAAUUGCACAGAUGAUGAUACUUGCAGGAUCAUAGUAGAGAUAAUCAUCAUUGCUGGAGGCACCUGGCCUAAGAUCAAACUUCCCUCCACUUUGGAAGACAGGAGGGUAGCAUAUAUCAAUAUUUUCAGGCUUCAACUUCACCUUGGCCUUCAAAGGAUCAAGAAUAACCUUCUCUGUGUCAUCCAUCAAUGAGGAGUGUGAGACUUUUCUCUCCUCAUCAAUAACCUUCUCCAUGGUCGGUACCACAAAGUUUUUCAUCACAGAUGAAGUUAGGUAAGCAGCCUUCUUCACACAUAUGAUCUCUGUGGCGUCUUUCACGGCAAAAAGCUCAGAAAACCCAUGUGUUACGUCUGCAAGUUGUACAGAUCCACCAGCUAACUUUUCUGCCCAUGUUUCAAGGAGCUUACCCUCAGGUGCCUCUUUUGCAAUGUGACCAACAACUGGAGUGUCAGAUUUCGACUGAGCAGAAACAGCACGCAGUAUGUCAUCCAUCAGGUCAAUGCCAUCCCCAUUCUUGCUUUUCACAUGCAAGAUAAUAUCAGAACCAACAGCCUCACUUGCAGCAUCCUUGAGGGUUCCAAUGAGAUUUGCUUUCUUCUGGCUGCAUAAGAAAUGUAUCUGCUUCUGCAUGAAGACAAUUAUGGUUUCUGGAAAUUCAUACCCAAGUAACCAAACAUCCAGAGCUGUGGACUUCAAAUAACGGAGAUCCUCAGAAGGAGGCGGAGUAGCAAUUGCAAUGGCAUCAGAAGAAGCCCAAAGAUCAGACUUGUUUCCGUUCCAAUGGUCAUAAAACACCUUAAGCCGCUUACUGAAGGUCUCUAGAUUGAUUGUAUAGGCUGCUCCUGAGCCUGACUUUGCUUUACCAUUGUCUGUCAUCUUUACCACAAAGCACACAUUAACCAAGCCAACUGCAGGAAAAUUGAUGAUAAUUAGAUAAUGCAAUCGUCUGACAAAUACCAGUUUACACUAUCAAAGGCAUUGGAUGUUCAGAAAAUAUUUCAAGUCCCAGAUAAAUACCUCACAGAAAAAGAGGAGUGACAAUCCAGGACACCAAGGCUUAAUUGCUUAUCACAACCUUUUUAUCCUGGGAACAAAGCAAGCAAACUGAGUCAAUUGUUCUGAAUUAAUACUGGAAAAACAAGAAAUACAGUGUUGUAUCACUCCAAACACUGCCAUACUGGUUAGCAUAGAAGCACCAUAUGUUUUGAGACAAAACAAUACAUAUAUCUUCAUAAUAAUUUCUUGCAGUGUUAAACGCAUCGGUAAUAUAGAUUUAGGCCAUCAAGAAUGAAUUGAAGUCUCGUCAUUAAAACAGCAUGAACCGCUAACAUGGGUUAUGAAUCCAGGGGGAAAAACAGUCAUCUUAUGUGUUUAAUAUGAACAUGAUGAAAUCUUUUGCCUAUUUCCAAACUUAGGUCAAAGAUAACUGUCCAUGAUAUUCAGUAUCCACACAUGAGUAAUGACGCCAUACUUCAGGGAAAUAAACUAGUUCAAGCAAAUGAAGGUUAUUUGCUGUCCAAUACCAGUUUACACUUGUGCAGAAAAUACUUCAAGUCCAAGACAAAUACCUCACAGAAGAAGUGGAGUGAUAGUCCAGAACAUCAAUUCUCAAUUUCUUAUCACAGCCUUUUUAUCCUGAAAACAUAGUGUGCAAACUGAUUCAAUUAUUCUGAAUUAAUAAUGUGAAAAGAAGAAAUCCGACCUGCGAACAAGAAUUCAGGAUAAAAAAGUCAUCUAAUCUGUGAAUUGAACAUGAUGAAAUCUUUUGCCUAUUUCCAAACAGAGGUAAAGACAACCCUCCAUGAUUUCAGUAUCUGUACAUGAGUAAUGAUUCCAUACUGCCAUCACUGCGAGUACUGAAGAUCCAGAGCGCUCAUAUAGUGCAAGACAACAGUGCAAGUUCCAAUAAAAAAUAAAAAAAUAUUAAUCCGUCUAAUUUAGUCCUUUUCGAGAAGAACUCGGUCGAAUUUAGUCCUUCAAAAAGCUGUAUGACCAGAUAAACAAUUAUAUCAGCGAAACUAGUGCGAAAAUCAAAGAGCAAAACAUGUGACCAGACACGCGAAUCUGAUCGUACCAACACGGGCCUGUUUCCUCGAGGUUCUAGGGUUACGCCGCGACGACGCGGGCGACGGUACGCGCAAACCCUAGCUCGAAUUCCCCGCAACCGAACCGCGGAAAUUUCACCGUAGCACGUCAGAUCCGGCCGAAGCGGGGAACGCUGGUAAGGGUACGGGUACGGGGUCGGGGAGGCGGCGGCGGACGGCGAGGCCGGGCAACCGCGGGGGGAGGGUGGGUACGGGGCGGUGAGGAGGCGGUGAGGAGGCGGGAGGGGAGGCGAGGGGAGGGGAGCGGUACCUCGGCGAUCGGCGAGGCGCGGCGCGGCGCGGGGAUGGGCGCGGGCGUCCGGAUCUGGGCCACCGGCGAGGGCUGGGGGCCGUGGGAGGGGGAGGAGGAGGGGAUGGGGGCGGCGACGGGGGGGAGAAAAAGGAUUGUGGGGAGGGGAGGGGGGGCUGACGGCAGGAUGAGGAGAGCGGCGGGAAAUGGGUGCGGGAGUGCCCUAGCUUCGCGCGGGCUGCAGGCCCGUUUCCGCGGCUCUUUUUCGCGAUUUUCAGAUGCGGCGCCGCCCAAUGGCGGUUUUCAUUUUUUAAAUAUUUUAUAUCACUCGGCUAGGCAAAAUUUGGCCCAUGGGUCACCCCGACCUGCCCCGCGGGCUGAGCGAGGCAGGGACGAUGGGUUUGUGAUGACUUUGUCAAUCUUGAAGCUCUGUAAUUCUGGUCUGGUUGUUGGUAUACAUUGUAUGUUGAGGUUAGAGGUGUGAAUGUGUAGGUGACUCGAGUGAGAGCAAUGUCAAUUGUAUGGCCCAUACCGUUGCCUUCCCCUGGAGCCAACUAGCUCGGAUGCCAAUGUGAACUGUCGGUUGCUCCGGGUGAAAAGCCAGGGAAACAGAGGGGAAGAGGAAAGAGGGAGUGUGGCCGGGACGUAGCGCAUGUGUGCUAGCGUAUGUGUGUUUGGUUUCGGACGAGGGUUGUGUUGAUGGUAUGGCCCAAUACCGCUACCCCCCCUUCCCCAACUACACACACAAACCUAGAUCCAACUAGGCUCGGAUGCCAUCUGAAGAGCUUGGAUGCUGCAACAAAAGGCACAUGUAUAGAAAGGGGAAAGAAAAGAGAGAGUGUGGUCCAAACCAAGUGCGCACGAAAUGGUCCACACACAGAUUACCUUGAGUUCUCCGCUUGCAGAUCCUUAAGCUCGUCUGUCUGGCCACGGGCUCGAUCUAGUCCCAGGCCAGACCUGCCAUGACCGGAUUUCGGCAGAAAAUGACGCGGCGGUACUGUAUCUGGGAGGAACACAGUCGUCCCCGAUCUGCGCCGGCCUUGCUCGGUUGAGAUGGUGCGCGGUUGGACGAUCACGCAAAUGGGUUCCGGCAGGAACGCAAUGUACAACUUGUACCAGCCAUAGAUCCAGAUCUGGGGCACCGAUAGAAAUAACACGAGGCAGAGGCGAUGGAUCCAGGAUUUUUUUCAUGCCAGCGAGCACGGGUUGGUGGUUGUUAUAUAAUAGAAGGAAAAAAAAGCAAGGAAACACAAGGUGGAAAAGGAAACAUAUAGUGUGGUCCGGACGUAGCGGCAAUACCUUGAGGUCCAUCUGGCAAUGGCGUUGAACUGGUUGAACGCGAGAUCCGGGAGAAAAUGGCGCGGCGGUGCUGGAUCUGGGAGGAACGCGGGCGUCCCAGAUCCGUGCCAACUUUUCUUGAUUGAGAUCGUGCCUAGGCACACCAUCACGCAGUUGGAUGCCGACAUAAAUGAAUGAGUGACAUCUUGUACCAACCAUCGCACAUCCUUGAAGUGCACCCAGAAAAAGAGCGCAAGAAAUAGAUCCAGAUCUGGCCACCGACAAAAAAACAUGAGGCAGAGGUGAUGGAUCCAAGAAGUUUCGUGUCAGAGAGCACGGUUGGUGGUGGUUAGGUAAUAGAAGGAAACAAAAGGAAGGAAACACAAGGCGGAAAAGGAAAGAUGUAGUGUGGUCCGGACGUAGCAGCAAUACCUUGAGUUCGCCAGACACAUAGCCUUUAGCUCGUCCAUCUGGCAAUGGUCUUGAUCUGAUUGAACGCGAGAUCGGACAGAAAACAGCGCAGCGGUGCUGGAUCUAGGAGGAACACGGUCGUCCCCGAUCUACGCCGACUUUUUUCGGUUGAGAUCGUGCCCAGGCGCACCAUCACGCAGUUGGAUGCCUAUAUAAACGAAGGAGUGACAUCUUGUGCCAGCCAUCGCACAUCCUUGAAGCGCACCCAUGAAGAGAGCGCAAGAUUGGAUCCAGAUCUGGGAACUGGUAGAAAAAACAUGUGGUAGAGGCGAUGGAUCCGGGAAUUUUUCAUGCCAAAGACUACAGUUGGAGGUGGUUAGGUAAUAGAAGGAAAAAAGCAAGGAAACAGGAGGCGGAAAAGGAAAGAUAUAGUGUGGUCCAGACGUAGCGCAAGUGAGCACGCCAUGGUCGGUGCCUGCAAUACCUUGAGUUCGCCGGCCACAUAGCCUUUAGCUCGUCCAUCUGGCAAUGACCUUGAUCUGGUUGAACACGAGAUCUGGUACGGCGCGUCGGUGCUGAGUCUGGGAGGAACACUGUCGUCCCCGAUCUUGAUCGACUUUUUUCGGUUAAGAUCAUGCCCAGGCGCACCACUGCGCAGUUGGAUGCCGAUAGAAACGAAUGAUUGACAGCUUGUACCAGCCAUCGCACAUCCUUGAAGCGCACCCAGGAAGAAAGCGCAAGAAUGGAUCCAGAUCUGGGAACCGGUAGAAAAAACAUGCGGUAGAGGCGCUGGAUCCGGCAAUUUUUUGUGCCAGAAAGCACUGUUAGCGGCGGCUGGGAUCGUACAGAGAGAUGGAUAUGGAAAGCGGGUUUGGGAAAGAAGAUGCGUACGAGGAAGAUGGAUCUGGAAUAUUGUAGUUUAGAGAAGGAGGGGAGUAUGGCCCUUGUGAGGUUGUAGUCUCGGCUUGUGUGUGGGGGGUAUAGAGUAUAACCUAUCGCCUCGUUUUAUCAUGUCUAUGUGGAUGUGUGGUGCCACCUAGCCCCUGCCCUGGUAGUGUGGGGGGCCGGCCCGUGGUCUCAUGGUGUGUCGGGGAGGCCCAUCAAGGAAAGCAAGAAAAAAAAGGUGGGAGGAAAAGGGAGAGGAAAAGGAGGCGAGAAAUAUCUGCUAAGAUUUACCAUUGUGUCAGUUGGUUGGACUAGGCAGCCCGUCGCUCCCUGGCAAUUGGAGCAACCACGGCAGAUUGAGCACCCCUUGUGGUGGAUCUUGACCAAAUCGAGCGCCCCAUGCAGUGGAUCUCGGCCAGAUCAAGCGCCCUAGCGGUCGGAGGGAGCUCCACCACGGCUAGAUCGAGCGCCCUAGCGGUCAGAGCGAACUCCGCCACGUCUGGAUCAAUCCCCAGAUGGCCUGAACGGGCUCUGCAAUAGAUUGAGUGCCCCAUCAACUGGAGCGGGCUCCACGACGACUGAAUUGAGCCCCCGGUGAUUCACUACAUGAGGCUUUCUUUAGUUCCCGCCACAAAUAAAUAGGUUAGUUUGGAUACAUUUGUACCCAUAAAUCAUCAGUCAUAUAAUUAUUUCAGCAGGCCACUUUUUAAUAAUUAAAUGAAUAGGGAUCAUUGAUGUCUACUACACAACCUUCUUCUUGUAGACGUUGUUGGGCCUCCAAGUGUAGAGGUUUGUAGGACAGUAGCAAAUUUCCCUCAAGUGGAUGACCUAAGGUUUAUCAAUCCGUGGGAGGCGUAGGAUGAAGAUGGUCUCUCUCAAGCAACCCUGCAAGUAAAUAGCAAAGAGUCUUUUGUGUCCCCAACACACCCAAUACAAUGGUAAAUUGUAUAGGUGCACUAGUUCGGCGAAGAGAUGGUGAUACAAGCGCAAUAUGGAUGGUAGAUAAAGGUUUUUGUAAUCUGAAAAUAUAAAAACAGCAAGGUAACAAGUGGUAAAAGUGAGCGUAAACGGUAUUGCAAUGCUAGGAAACAAGGCAUAGUGUUGAGGAUAUAGACCUUAGAGUCACCCGCCAGGAGGGGCCGGGUUACUCGUAGGUCGACGCCAGAAGCCCGGAGCCAAGUUUCAGAUAAUGGGCCAGAGAUGGGCUGAGACCCGGAUAUGGCUUAAAGCCUGUAGUUACAAUCAUUGUUAUAGUAGACUUGUAGUGUAAGGCAAGUAUUGUUUAGAGUCCGAGCCGGACGCUCUUAUGAGCCGGUCGGGACUCUAAGGGCUGCUGGGCGUCAGCCUCCCUAUAUAAAGGGAGGACCCGGCAGCGGUUUAGGGGCGACAACAAUCUCCUCGAGAGCCGGGCAUAGCUGUUUAGCUCCCUGGCGAUCGUAACCCUACUCAAUAAACACCUCAAACUGGACGUAGGCUUUUACCUUCACCGUAAGGGGCCGAACCAGUAUAAACCCUCGUGUUCCUUGCCCCACAUAACCCCUUCAAGCUUCCUAGCUGCGAUGGCUCCACGACUAAGUCCUAGCUCGAGGACAUCUGCCGUGACAAUUCCACGACAGUUGGCGCCCACCGUGGGGCUGCCGCACGGUGUAUUUGAGUUCUUGAAGGGCAGCUUCGAAGGGCUCAAGGGAUACGCUGUGGGCCGAAUGACCAAGAGUCGUCGCGGCAAGCUCUACAUCGACGACGAAGGCUGGGGCCCCGACGCCGGCUCAAUUGAGUACGGGUACCGGGUCCCCUUUGGCGGAAUUCAUGUCUUCAUCGGCAAGAUUGGUGAGCCGGGCCCCGAGCCGGACCUCUGCGCCGAUCUCGUCGAAACGGCUCAGCGCGCACGACCCGCCCGGGCCCGGCCUGCCUUAAGGCGCGCUUUUUUGGGAUGCAUCCAUGGAGGGCCCUCUGAUCUAUCCGGGUCUGGUGAUGAGGCGGCCGCCGGCUCUGACGGCGAGUCGGCCACUGAUGAAUCAAACUCGUUGUACCAACUUCAAGAUGGCAGGUUCAUGGGCUGUUCCGACGGCGACAGUAUUCCGGACCCUUUUGAGCCGCCAAGUCUGGUUGGAGUCUUUAUGGCCGGUGCGCAGCCUGUUCAGAACCCCGCUGCCGGAUCGGGAAACCCGGUGCCUUCCCCGGCUCAGGUACUGAUGGAUCUCAUGGACAAGCUGACGGCCCUGCUAACCGCCGCGGUCGACCCGGCGGACCAAGCCCAGCAUGAUGCAGAGGUGGCGCAGUUAAAGUUAGAUCUGAUAAAGGCUAAAGAGGAUCUUGCAGCGGAAGGGAUCAGGCUGGCUGCGGAGCGGGCGGCUCUCGAUGCCCAGACUCAGCUAAUUCAGGCGCAGUCCUUCCAGCUCACGAUGGAUCAGAACGCGGCCAACGUAGUCAUGAGGAGGAGGCAUCAGAAGGCCCAGUCUCGACUCCCGCCGGUCUACGAUCCACGCAAUCUCUUCAACACGCCGGGUGCAGGGUCUAGCAACCCGCCAGGGGUCAUCACGCCCGGGUCUGUACCCCUUGUUCAGCCACGGUUGAUGGGGCCUCCCCAGGUGCCUCCUGCCCCGCCUCAGUAUGUGCCAGUACCCCUGGGGCAUUAUGAUAACCCGCUGGAGAACAUGGUGGCCGCGGCAGCACGAUUGGCGGCUCUCCCCGUUGACGGCGACUCUCCGGCGGCCAUCGAAACCCGCCGGGUCAGGGAACUCCUGCAGACGGCGCUGACACAGCAAGAAGCGUACUCCUACAGCCGGGAUAGGAUCCACUCGACCCCUCGUCCGGGUCAGAGCCCGAGUUACAGCCGGCACAUGGUCUCAGCAACCGGCUCAAGUAAUGUCCGGCGCCAUGACCCGCCCCCUGGCCAUGGCCCGGCGCAUAACGGAGCCUUCUACGCAGCAGACCAGGACAAGGCACGCCAGGAGGCGGAGCAGGUGCCUCAAUUGACGGCUUACCAGACCCCCCCGGCCUAUCCGACGACUUCUGUUGAUGUGGGUAUCCCUACCAGGACUGGGGGUGUCCCUUGUUUGGUGCCAGCUAUUCGUAAUGAACGUCUACCCAAGGACUUCAAAGGCCCUAGGAAGGUGCCUAACUACACAGCAGACUUACAGCCCGCAGCCUGGGUCGAGAGUUACGAGAUGGCCAUGGAGCUCCUAGAGGUCAGUGAGGCGGCCAUGGCUAAGUACUUCACCAUGAUGCUGGAUGGGACUGCCCGUACUUGGUUGAAAGGGCUACCACCGAAUUCCAUUGGGUCUUGGGCGGAGCUGAAGGCCCGGUUCAUCCAAAACUUCAAAGAUACCUGCAGGCAGUCUAUGUCAAUUGUGGAUUUGACUAACUGUAAGCAGCAGGAGGGUGAGUCCACGACCCAUUGGGUUCGCCGGGUCAAGGAAAUCAUACAUUCAUCAGAUAAAAUGGAUGCCGGCUCUGCAGUCUUAAUGUUGGAACAGAACUGUCGCUUUGUGCCCCUUAAGAUGAAGCUUGGGCGGCUCAAGCGCGACUGCACCGAUAUGGGUACCCUAAUGGCGGCUCUUGUCAAGUACGCCAAUUCCGAUGGUACCAAGGAUCCCCCUUCAGACGAUGAAAGGGCAGGGAAGGGAAAGAAGAACGGCAAUGGCAAGGGUCCCCAGUUUAACCUGGGGAACCAAGGAGGAGGCAAGCGUAAGGCCGAUGGCAGCCUAGAAUUUGUAGCCAACACCAACUCUCAAGGUAAUAACCAGCGACGCAAGGGGAGGCCCCCUCCCCGAGGCGGCGGGUCAGGACCCUCUCUGGAGCAGCUGUUGAAUGAACCUUGUCCGAGGCACGGCUCUAGAGAGAAGCCAGCAACUCAUCUGUGGAAGGAUUGUGCUAUUAUGAAGGCCUUUAAAAACUACAAUGGUCCGGGUGGCGGCUCAGGUGCCGGCGGCUUUCAUGGCCCUGGGGGCGGCUCAAAUAACGGUCCUCAGAACGGUCAAGGGGGCUUUAAUCAGCAGUCUGGCCAGGGUCACCAACAGCAGUAGGGGGGUUACCAGACCAAUCCAAAGCAGCUAAGCGGUGGACAAUAUCAUGUAUUUACCACUAGUCUGUGCAAACGAGAUCAGAAGAUUCACAAGAGGGCUGUGAAUGCUGUUGAGCCGGCAGUCCCACGCUACUUACGAUGGUCUGAGCAGCCUAUAAUAUGGAGUAGGGAGGAUCAUCCUCCUCGGGUGGAUAACCCGGGCCACCUGGCCUUGGUGGUAGCUCCUCAGGUGGGAGGAUAUAAGUUCACAAAAGUACUCAUGGAUGGAGGCAGUAGCAUUAACAUCCUUUAUUAUGAGACUUUUCGCCGUAUGGGGUUAGUUGAUAAGAACCUCAGCCAGUCAAACACUAUCUUCCAUGGGGUAGUGCCUGGUAAGUCGGCUUACCCAGUUGGCAAGAUCGAAUUGGAAGUGGCUUUCGGUGAUGACAGUAAUUACAGAGUGGAGAAGUUGACCUUCGAGGUGGUUAAAAUAAGAAGUCCAUACCAUGCCAUAUUCGGACGGCCGGCUUACGCCAAGUUCAUGGCACGGCCGUGUUAUGUGUACUUACAGCUCAAGAUGCCGGGUCCCAAUGGGACCAUUACGGUUUACGGCAGCCGGAAGGUGGCUCUGGAGUGUGAGGAAGGUGAUGCGGCUUAUGCAGAGUCUGUUUGUGCUACAGAAGAGUUAAAGUUUUAUAAAGACAAUGUCGACCCGACAGACAUGACCUCUCUGAAGAAGCCAACUACGGAGGCUGAGCCGGCGAUGAAAUUCAAAUCGGCUGAUGAAACUAAGCUUGUUGAUUUUGUUCCAGGAAAUUCAUCUCAGCAGUUUAGCAUCAGUGCCAAUCUGGAUCCAAAAUAGGAAGGCGCGCUCAUCGAGUUCAUCCGUGAGAAUAGGGACAUCUUCGCGUGGAAACCUUCCGACAUGCCAGGUGUACCUAGAGAACUCGCUGAGCACACUCUCAAUGUCGAUCCGAAAUUUAAGCCGGUCAGACAGUUCCUUCGGCGGUUUAAUGAAGAGAGGCGAAAGGCUAUUGGUGAAGAAGUGGCCCGGCUCUUGGCGGCCGGGUUCAUUGUUUAGGUCUUUCACCCAGAGUGGUUGGCUAACCCGGUGCUCGUACUCAAGAAGAACGGCACCUGGCGAAUGUGUGUGGACUACACGGACUUGAACAAGGCGUGCCCGACUGAUCCUUUUGCGCUCCCCCGUAUUGAUCAAAUCAUUGAUGCUACGGCAGGUUGUGCACGCUUAAGUUUCUUGGAUGCUUAUUCCGGGUAUCAUCAGAUUAAGAUGGCAGUUAAGGACCAGGAGAAGACGGCGUUCAUCACUCCCUUUGGAGCCUUCUGUUAUGUGUCUAUGCCCUUUGGACUCAAGUGUGCACAGGCGACUUACCAGCGUUGUGUACAGAAUUGUCUUCAUAAGCAGAUCGGGCGCAAUGUUCACGCAUAUGUGGACGACAUUGUGGUUAAAUCCAUCAAAGAGGAAACCCUGAUAGAUGAUUUAAGAGAAACCUUUGAUAAUCUCCGGGUCUAUAAGAUGAUGCUAAACCCGGCCAAGUGUGUCUUUGGUGUUCCUGCAGGCAAGCUCUUGGGUUUCUUAGUUUCUGACAGAGGCAUUGAGGCUAACCCAGAGAAGAUCAAGGCCAUCACCUCCCUGGCUAAGCCGGCGUGUAUAAAUGACGUUCAGCGCUUGGCGGGUCGCAUCGCUGCUUUAAGCCGGUUCAUAAGCCGCUUGGGUGAGAAGGCUAUGCCCUUAUAUCAGUUGAUGAAGAAAACUGAUAACUUUGUCUGGAAUGAUGCAGCUAACACCGCCUUUGAGGAUUUGAAAAAGCAACUGGCAGAGCCCCCCGUCCUUGCUGCUCCGGUUGAUAAGGAGCCCCUGCUACUGUAUGUGGCGGCAAACACACGAGCCGUCAGUGUGGCUAUUGUGGUGGAGCGUAAGGAGACGGGUAAGGAGCAUCCGGUUCAGCGGCCGGUUUAUUAUGUCAGUGAGGUGCUUAUUGAGUCCAAGCAGCGGUACCCGCAUUGGCAGAAGCUCGUAUAUGGUGUGUUCAUGGCAAGCCGGAAACUCAAACAUUAUUUUCAGGGUCAUCCCAUCACUGUGGUCAGUUCUGCCCCUCUUGGGGAUAUUAUCCAGAACAGAGAGGCUACAGUGAGAAUUGCUAAGUGGGCUAUAGAGCUUGGACCGCAUGGCCUCAAAUAUGUGCCACGCACUGCUGUUAAAUCUCAGGCUUUGGUGGACUUCAUCAACGAUUGGACAGAGUCACAAGUGCCCGAGCAGAAGCCGGAUAAUACGUACUGGACUAUUCACUUUGACGGGUCUAGGCAGUUGGAGGGCUCAGGGGCUGGCGUUGUGUUGGCUUCCCCUAGGGGUGACAAGUUCCAGUAUGUGCUACAAUUGAUGUUUCCUUGCACUAACAAUGCGGCUGAAUACGAGGCUUUACUCCACGGUCUUCGAGUGGCCAAGGAGAUGAGCUUAAGCCGGGUAAGGUGCUUUGGGGACUCAGAUUUGGUGGCUCAACAAGUAUCAGGCACCUGGGAUUCUAAGGAUCCUCUCAUGGCGGCUUAUCGCCGCGAGGUUGAUGCCAUUGCUGGGCACUUUCAGGGAUAUCAAGUGGAGCACAUUGAUCGCAGGAAGAACGAGGCGGCUGAUGCUUUAAGCCGGCUAGGCUCUCAGCGCAAGCCGGUGCCGCCGAACACUUUCCUGGAUGUCCUGUAUAACCCUUCGGUUAAGUUGCCUAUAGAGGAGGACUUGGCUAUCCCUGACCCGGAGGCACGGCUAGUGGCGGCUCUUCACGUCAUACUAGACUGGACAAUGCCAUAUCUGGCUUAUAUAACCCGGGGGGAGUUGCCUGAAGAUGAAACUUUGGCCAGGCAGAUAACCCGGCGGGCCAAGUCAAUGAUUGUUAUCAACGGCGAAUUGCAUCAUCGCAGUGUUUCAGGGGCAUUUCAGCGUUGUAUCUCCCCUGAGGAAGGUCAAGAGAUCUUGCGCGAGAUCCAUGAAGGGGAUUGUGGCCAUCAUGCCGGUUCAAAAUCUCUUGUGGCCAAGGCUUUCCGUCAUGGUUUUUAUUGGCUGACGGCUCACGCUGAUGCAGAGGACUUGGUCAGUAAAUGUGAUGGCUGCCAAAGGUUCUCACGACGGGCUCAUGUGCCGGCUCAGGAGUUGAGGAUGAUCCCAAUCACUUGGCCCUUUGCGGUCUGGGGGCUUGAUAUGGUUGGGCCCUUUAAACGGUCCAAGGAUAAGAAGAUCCACCUCUUGGUGGCGGUUGACAAAUUCACAAAGUGGGUGGAGGCCGAGCCAGUUAGCAAGUGCGAUGCAGCCACGUCGGUUCAAUUUAUGAAAAAGGUGAUUUUCCGCUUCGGCUUUCCACACAGCAUCAUAACUGACAAUGGCACCAAUCUAUCCAAGGGCGCUAUGGAAGAGUUUUGUCAACGAGAGCAUAUCCGACUUGAUGUUUCCUCAGUGGCUCAUCCCCAAUCCAAUGGUCAAGCUGAGAGAGCUAACCAUGAGAUUCUGAAGGGCAUUAAACCCCGGCUUUUGGUCCCUUUGCAACGGACGCCGGGUUGUUGGGUGGAGGAGUUGCCCUCCAUCUUAUGGAGCAUCAACACUACUCCUAACAGGUCUACAGGCUUCACACCUUUCUUCAUGGUUUAUGGAGCAGAAGCAGUUCUCCCCAGCGACAUCCGUCACGAUUCACCUCGUGUGGCGGCUUAUGUUGAGACGGAUAAUGAACAGGCGCGCCAAGAUGCUCUGGACUUGUUGGACGAACAGCGUGAUGUGGCAGCAGCCCGUUCAGCGAUUUACCAACAGGACCUGCGCCGUUAUCAUAGCCGCCGGGUCAAGUCCCGGGUCUUCCAGGAAGGCGGCCUUGUGCUCCGGCUCAUCCAGGAUCAAACAGAUGCACACAAGUUAUCCCCACCUUGGGAAGGGCCCUUUGUGGUCAGUAAGAACUUGCACAACGGGUCGUAUUACCUCAUUGACAUUCGGGAGCAUAAAGAUUCACGUAAGUCUGAGGAAGAGACCCGUCGGCCGUGGAACAUAGCUCAGCUUCGGCCUUACUACACUUGAGCUACCGGCUCUUGUGGUGUACAUACUUAUCUCAGCCAUGUAUAUAUUAUGAUAAGCAAUAAAGCAGGACCUCUGUCCUUUUUUCUCCUCCAAUUAUGUGUGUUAUAUUUUACAUGCUAAUUUGAAAGGAGGAUCCGGCUUAUGAUCGUAUUCGAAUCUAGCCGUAAGCAGUAAGGUCACUUGGGGGCUUCCUGUUCAAACAUGGGUCGUAUUCGAACCAAAGAGAACAUAGCUGUCGAUACCCAUUUGGUUGGCAAAGUGCCGAGCUCAUUGGGAGGUGGCCUUUGGUCAUAUUUGAAUCACAGUGCAACCCCUCUGAGAACCGACGUGGAUCGUAUUCGAAUCAGCGUCGUUAAACAAUUUUCAGAAUCACUUGGGGGCUUCCUAUUCAAACAUGGGUCGUAUUCGAACCAAAGAGAACACAGCUGUCGAUACCCUCUUGAUUGGCAUCGCCACACCCACUGGGGGCUAUAUGAUCGCAUCCGAAUCUUAGCUUAACCCCUUUGGACUGGGUUUCUGGUCGUAUUCGAACCGGAAGCCCCUAAGUUUUUAUAUUUUAUCAUAAGUCUACUCUGAUCAUGUCAAAGUAUGUGCUGCCGGCUCUCACUUGCCGGCUUAAUUUUGGUUUAUCUUGUUAGUUGAACAUCAGGGAGGUUAUCAAGACAGGUACAUUCGAGUUAAGGUACCAACCAAGCUAUCCGGGUUAUUUAACCCGGAAAUAUGUUACAGGCCGUUAAGUGUGUUAUCACGGCUAUGUUCAGAGUAUAACGACCAGUCUUUUUUGGGUUCGUUUGCCGGAUUAUAUAUUUUAAACACCUGAUUCUCAGGACGGUAAGCCGCCUCGAGACUUGUGAUUUACCUUUCUAUGUAGAUAUUGGAAGGUACUUUUUACAGUGGAGAAGGACAAAGGGAUAAUUAUAACCCGGAAGAACACCAAAAGAAUAACUUCAAGAGGUUUCAGCAUUCAUUACGUGCACGAUGGCACGGCAGAGAUAAAUUGUUGCACCUAUUCUAUUACAAAAAUCUUUAUGAAGUUUCAAGGGUGGAGCAUUGCUCGGUGAACCGCCAGCCACUUUAUGAUGCCUGCUGAGUUGAAGUCCCCGGCUCGUCUUCUGCUCCGGCUGAUCCCAAGACCUCGAAGGUUGACGACUUCCAGUCGAUGCCGCUGAGAGCUUCGAACUGGGCUCCUUCGUCGAUUAACCCGGCCGGGUCAAUCUCCGGGGCGAAGGUGUGCUGACGAGCCGGAGGGAUCAGGUUGAGGGCUUCAUAGCGUGGGGUUGGAAUCCUUCGAUUCUCCGCGUCAAAACCCGGCUGGUACUUGGUCAAGUCGGUGUCGUUCCCGAUGAGGGUAGCCACCGGGCGUACAGCCUUCACACAUGCCGCGAAGUCCUUUUGGUCGAAGGCUGAGCCGUCUUCCUUCAGGCUGGGGUAACCCAGGGCGAUAUCUGCCGGGUCUAGCUCUGGCAAGAAUGCCUUAGCCCGGCUCAGCGCAGCGAUUGCUCCGGCUCUCGCGGAUGCCCGUCGUAGCUCCUGGAUCCGCUGUGGCAGAACUGCGAGCCGGCGCAGGACUUCGGCCAGGUGUGUUGGCACCUCAUUCGACAAGGCCACCACCGCUAGGGCCCGCUGUGACCCGGUGUAGAGCUGCUCCACCAGGGUGUACACAGUCUUUAGUUUGGUGACCACGCUCUGGUUCAGGUUGGCGCUUCUGGAGCCUGUUUAAUAAAGAUUAGGUAAGUCGGCGACAAGGAUGAGUCAUAACAUAUACAGACUUGAUGAAAGCCGGCGAGGCGACUUACCGAAGAUGGCAGCCACCAUUUGGGAAACCUGGCGCUUUAGGCCGGAGAGCUCAGCGGUCUUCUCGGUGAGGGCUUUCUCCGCCUGUUCGGCCCGGGUCACCAGUGCGUUUUUUUCCUCCGCCCAGGACUUCCGCUCAGCAUCGAAUUCAGUCUUCAGCUUCUCUUGAGCGGCGAUGCUGGAGACAAACUUGGCGUUUGCCUUCCGGGUCUCCAUCUCUUGUGUCUUCAGCCGGCUCUUAAGAUCCGCCAGGUCCGACUCUAAUUUUUUGCCAACAGCCUGCAUAUAUUUCCGGGUUGUUAACAGGCAUUCUAUAAGUCCCAAGCGCUUUCCAAGCAAAGACACUUGGCACUUGGGGGCUAAUGCAUAUUGAACGUAUCUAUCUACGUACUGCCGGUUCAGUUAAGUAAGCCGGAAUCUAAGUCUACAGCAUAUUCAAGUAUAAGUUGCAGACUUGGGGGCUGGCAUGACAAGGAUCACUAUGCAGAAAAUAAGAGGACAGCAGAAGGUUACCUCAGAUUUUUGUUGGAUCUGGUUGACCAUGGCGAUUUCGGCGUCCCGGCUCUUGUGAACUUGGCUGAUGUAGCCAGAGACGAGCUCUCCAAUGCUCAAAUCGGUGUAGUUGGAGAGAUCCAGAUUCACCCGGUGGGGCUGCAGCAGCUCCCCCUUCGCAGAGCAUUUGGCCAGCACGGUCGGUCUCCCCGGCUCAACAUACUCCGUCCGGGUCAUCAGUUGAAGGGGCAGAGCCGGAGGCCUCCGGGUUAACCGACGCUUCGGUUGUGGUCUUGGCAGUUGGGGCAGGCGCUUCAGGUGCCGUGUCCAUAGGACUGGUGGCUUCGGGGGCGGCGGCAGCUGGCGGCUCUUGAGCCGUCGUCUCCGGCUCAGGCAAGUCGGGCACUCCGGCUGACCUGGUCUUCUUUGCUCUUUUGGUGAGCUUUGCCUGGGCACUGAAAAGACAGAAGUGUUAGGCAUACAAAGAGUAAAGUACAGCCGGAUAAUGUAAGGAGAUUAUUAUUACCCGGGUGCAGUUUUGAAGGCCGGCAGACUUGACUGCAUGGAGUCACCCGAAGAGGGGGAGGUCUCCUGAUAAUUAGAGUCAGAAGAGUUGAGUGGCUGACGGAUGACACCCGCCAACGGAUGAAAAGGGUACAGGUGAGAAAAAACCUCCGUACGACGCUUCCUUGUUGCGUCGGGUAACCCGGCGGAGAGAUCGGUGUCCUUGCGGGCCCGGGUGUGACGCCGGCUUUCGUGAACCUGCUGCUUCAAAAGAAAUUGAGGGUCUUGAUGAGCUAACGGGUGAGAAAAGCUUACUUUCCGGGUUACUCUUCGGACUUUCAGCUGUGGCAAAGGCUCCGAGUCGGAGGAAAGUGAUGUUACCUCUUCAAUCACCGGGUUACUGGCGCCGGUGUCGUCCUGUCAAUAAGCAAAAUGUGGAUAAGGUGGACAGCAGCAAACAAAAAAUAUGGCAAGAAUUUAAAGGUUUACGGGUUACCUCUGACUCGGAGCUGUCGCUUAAUUGCAGCAGCUCCGAAGCGGUGGGUCUGCUUCCCUUUCUGCGAGGGGCGGCUUUCUUCGCCUUCCUGGCCUUCUUGGCCGCCUCAUGGUCGUAUUUGACCCGCCAGAAUUUGUCAUCAGUCUGAGAGGUACAGUAAUGAAUUCUUAAAGCGGUCCAGAUCAAGGUGACAUGCAAAAGAAGUUGAAAGAUUAAGGUCAGCGGCUUACCGCUGGGGCUGGAUUGGUCUUGCAGAACGGGGCCAGCCCGGUUCUUCCACAGUCUGCCAGGCUCUCGUUUAACAGAGCCUUGGUCUCUUCUUCAGCAACGUCUUCCGGAAGAUCGUUGCGACUGUGCCUCUGCGGGUCAUCCUUUCGCCCGGUGUACUCACACAUUAAGCCGGGGCGGCGGCUCAAUGGGAUCACCCGCCAUGAGAUCCAGACCCGGACUAGAUCAAUUCCGUUCAGACCGUUGCCUAGCAGAGCCUUGAUCUUGUUGAUCGUUGGAAGCAGAGGUUGGCGUUCCGCGGCAGUAAGUUUGUCGGAUAACGGGUGCGUGGAUUCCAGGCGUGUUGGGCGAAAGCCGGGCAGUGGAUUCUCGUCAGCCGGGGACGUGUCUUGGCAGUAGAACCAAGUCAUAUUCCAGUCUUUAGGGUGGCUCGGCGGCUCUGCAUAAGGGAACAGGCAGUCCCUACGUCGUUGGAUGGAUAUGCCGCCUAAUUCUAGACUUGGCCCGUUGGCACACUCAUUUUGGCGGUUCAAAUAGAACAGCUCUCUGAAGAGUAGCAGGCUCGGCUCUUCUCCAAGAUACACUUCACAGAAGACUUGGAAGUUGCAGAUGUUGGAUAUGGAAUUGGGUCCUAUAUCCUGAGGCCGAAGGUCAAAGAAGUUGAGCACGUCCCGGAAGAAUUUUGAGUCGGGCGGUGCGAAGCCCCGGCUCAUGUGGUCUGCAAAGAUCACUACCUCCCCGUCCCUCGGCUGUGGUCUUUCUUCUGACGGAUCAGGGGCACGGUAGGACAUCACUUCUUUCUUGGGCAGAUACCCGGACUUAACAAAGUUGGCUAGGGUCUCUUCAGUGACAUUGGAUCUCGUCCAGUUGCAAGUGAUGGGGGCCUUGGGAGGCAUGGUGAAGGUUGGUGGUCUAUAAUAAAGAGAAAAGUAUCCGGGUCAAUUAUAAGCCGGAGAUCUAUUGUUCAAAUUAAAGUGGCGGCUUAUGAAGGGGACUAAUGAUAUAUACUCAUGUACGGUGAGUUGUCAGAGCCGUAGGAACAUUCAGAAUAAAUUGGUCAUCUACGGCUUACUACAGUUAAGCCGGAGGAGUCUGCAGAGCAUGGUUCUCUUUAAACCGGAAAGUUCUACGGCGCGUGUUUCUUUAAGUCGGAAAUAUAAGUCGCCAAGAUUCGAGGGCUGCAGUUUUUACUAAGUGUGGUAAACAGAUUUCACAUAUUGCAGUAACUUUUUCGGAUCAAAAUGGUCGGGCGAGAUGAAAUUUUUCUAGACCUAAAAACAGAAGCAGGGGAAGUUCUUGAGGUGGAACACAGUCCUUAUGCAGUGAAAAGAGGUGUUCUUGCAGAUGAAAUGAGUUUCAAACAUCUACCGCGGUGGUUCUACGCAAGGCUAAAGAUCAACUAACUACGGUGACUACAGGAGCUACUGAGACUUGUGGCUAUGGUGACGAACACGAAGAACACAGACAAACUCUAUCACAGAUCUAUGCUAGUAAGGCAGAGGGGACUCACCGGAGCUGGAGAAGAGCGGAGGUCGCCGACGUUAUCUGGUCCGAGUCAGGUUGAUGCAGCGGCCGGGUUGAUGAAGGACGAGGGAGCGACGGCGGCGGCAGUGACAGAGCUCGGGCAGAAGAGCGACGGCGCGAGGAGGAAGAAAGAGAGCGUGAGAAGAGAAGUGUUGGGCCGGCCUAUUUAUAAGGCAGGGUCAUAAGUGGGCGCGAGAUUCAAGGAGACCACGGCAUGGUUAUCUCCCCCUCACGGCGCCUCGAUUUUCGGAAAGACAGUAAAAGCAAAGAUCCGUUGCGGAUCUGGCGGAGUAAAAAACAGACUUAAUGGAGGAUGACGUCACGGCGGAUUAUCCGGAGUCCAGAGGAUGACGUCACUCCGGGUUAUGGCCUCCACAUGAAUGGUGAGCCGGAGAUUUUCUUGGUCGGCAGAGUUGAAGAUUGACAUGAGCCGGCUCAAGUCAAUCUGGGGCCUAAUGUUGAGGAUAUAGACCUUAGAGUCACCCGCCAGGAGGGGCCGGGUUACUCGUAGGGUCGACGCCAGAAGCCCGGAGCCAAGUUUCAGAUAAUGGGCCAGAGAUGGGCUGAGACCCGGAUAUGGCUUAAAGCCUGUAGUUACAAUCAUUGUUAUAGUAGACUUGUAGUGUAAGGCAAGUAUUGUUUAGAGUCCGAGCCGGACGCUCUUAUGAGCCGGCCGGGACUCUAAGGGCUGCUGGGCGUCAGCCUCCCUAUAUAAAGGGAGGACCCGGCAGCGGUUUAGGGGCGACAACAAUCUCCUCGAGAGCCGGGCAUAGCUGUUUAGCUCCCUGGCGAUCGUAACCCUACUCAAUAAACACCUCAAACUGGAUGUAGGCUUUUACCUUCACCGUAAGGGGCCAAACCAGUAUAAACCCUCGUGUUCCUUGCCCCACAUAACCCCUUCAAGCUUCCUAGUUGCGAUGGCUCCACGACUAAGUCCUAGCUCGAGGACAUCUGCCGUGACAAUUCCACGACACAUAGGGUUCAUACUUUCACUAGUGCAAGUUCUCUCAACAAUAAUAACAUAAUUGGAUUAUAUAACUAUCCCUCAACAUGCAACAAAGAGUCACUCCAAAGUUACUAAUAGUGGAGAACAAACGAAGAGAUUAUGGUAGGAUACGAAACCACCUCAAAGUUAUUCUUUCCAAUCAAUCCAUUGGACUAUUCCUAUAAGUGUCACAAACAGCCCUAGAGUUCAUACUAGAAUAACACCUUAAGACACAAAUCAACCAAAACCCUAAUGUCACCUAGAUACUCCAAUGUCACCUCAAGUAUCCAUGGGUAUGAUUAUACACUAUGCAUCACACAAUCUCAGAUUCAUCUAUUCAACCAACACAUAGAACCUCAAAGAGUGCCCCAAAGUUUCUACCGGAGAAUCAAGACGAAAACGUGUGCCAACCCCUAUGCAUAGGUUCAUGGGCGGAACCCGCAAGUUGAUCACCAAAACAUACAUCAAGUGAAUCACGUGAUAUCCCAUUGUCACCACAGGUACGCACGGCAAGACAUACAUCAAGUGUUCUCAAAUCAUUAAAGACUCAAUCCGAUAAGAUUACUUCAAAGGGAAAACUCAAUCCAUUACAAGAGAGUAGAGGGGGAGAAGCAACAUAAGAUCCAACUAUAAUAGCAAAGCUCGCGAUACAUCAAGAUCUUGCCAAAUCAAGAACACGAGAGAGAGAGAGAGAUCAAACACAUAGCUACUGGUACAUACCCUCAGCCCCGAGGGUGAACUACUCCCUCCUCGUCAUGGAGAGCGCCGGGAUGAUGAAGAUGGACACCGGUGAGGGUUCCCCCCUCCGGCAGGGUGUCGAAACAGGGUCCCGAUUGGGUUUUGGUGGCUACAAAAGCUUGUGGCAGCGGAACUCCCGAUCUAUUCUGUUCCCCGAUAGUUUUAGGGUAUAUUGGUAUAUAUAGGAGGAAGAAAUACGUCAGGGGAGCCACGAGGGUGGAGGGCGCGCCCCCUGCCUCGUGCCUCCCUCGUUGCUUUCCUGACGUGCACUCCAAGUCCCCCGGAUUGCUUUCUUUCCAAAAAUAACUCUCUACAAGGUUUCAUUCCGUUUCGACUCCGUUUGAUAUUCCUUUUCUUCGAAACACUGAAACAAGGGGAAAAAACAGGAACUGGCACUGGGCUCUGGGUUAAUAGGUUAGUCCCAAAAAUAAUAUAAAAGUGCUUAGUAAAGCCCAUUAAACAUCCAAAAGAGAUAAUAUAAUAGCAUGGAACAAUCAAAAAUUAUAGAUACGUUGGAGACGUAUCAAUCAUCUAAAGCGGACACCAAUAGAAUUGAGUAUGAGCAUGAGCAUGAUAGAGGCAUCACUACUUCUACACCCCCGUCACCAACAAUGCCAUCGCCACCACUUCAUCUUCAUUAGUUUUGGCUUAUUACCCUUGUAGUUUAAUCGGCAACAAAAUAUUGUAAGACACUUAAAGUACUUUCUUUUCAACUACCUAUAUCUUGUUUCUGUUUUUUACUUCGUUGCCCGUAGAAGCACACAAUAUUUUAUAGGUGGACAGUCUCGUGAUCCUUCCCCUAUUUCCAACCUAUCGAGCAUCCGAGUUAUGUUCCCUCGAGGUUACCAAGAACCUUAGUUUUAUUUUCAAUAACACACAAGUUGUGUGUAUUUUGUAUUAAGAUAGGGGAGAAAAAACAAGUACAAAACAUGUACACGCUAUGUACAAGGGAUGCAUGGCACUUUAGCCAGCACCCAAACCUAGAAACACCUAAGCAUCAGUUCUCAUAUUAUCAUCCACGGAUCCACUCACCCUAGCCAACAUCCACAAAGUAAACUCAUUUCAAACUCUCACGGUAACAAUGGAGGGCAUUGAUGCUACUUUGUCGAAAAUGCGACUAUUCCUCUCCAGCCAAAUCAUCCUUAAUAUGCAACAAGCCAGAGUGUUCAAUUCCUUCCUCCGAGUCCUGGUUGCAGCUGAAUGCAACCUAGACCACCAAUCUUUGAGCUCGUCGGUAGGUUGCGGAGUGAAUCUAUGUAGCCUCCAUGGUAACAACAAAGAGUACCAAAUUUGUCAAGAGAAUGAACAACCCAACAGAAGAUGGUUGAUACGUCUCCAACGUAUCUAUAAUUUUUUAUUGUUCCAUGCUAUAUUAUAUUCUGUUUUGGACAUUAUUGGGCUUUAUUAUACACUUUUAUAUUAUUUUUGGGACUAACCUAUUAACAGGAGGCCCAGCCUAGAAUUGUUAUUUUUUUGCUUAUUUCAGAGUUUCGCAGAAAAAGAAUAUCAAACGGAGUCCAAACGGAAUGAAACCUUCGGGAACGUGAUUUUUGGAACGAACGUGAUCCAGGGGACUUGGACCCUACGUCAAGACAUCAACCAGGAGGGCACGAGGUAGGGGGGUGCGCCUACCCCCCUAGGCGCGCCCUCCACCCUCGUGGGCCCCCUGUUGCUCCACCGACAUACUCCUUCCUCCUAUAUAUACCUACGUACCCCCAAACUACCAGAUACGGAGCCAAAAACCUAAUUCCACCGCCGCAACCUUCUGUACAUGUGAGAUCACAUCUUGGGGCCUGUUCCGGAGCUCCGCCGGAGGGGGCAUCGAUCACAGAGGGCUUCUACAUCAACACCAUAGCCUCUCCGAUGAUGUGUGAGUAGUUUACUUCAGACCUUCGGGUCCAUAGUUAUUAGCUAGAUGGCUUCUUCUCUCUUUUUGGAUCUCAAUACAAUGUUCUCCCCCUCUCUCGUGGAGAUCUAUUCGAUGUAAUCUUCUUUUGCGGUGUGUUUGUUGAGACCGAUGAAUUGUGGGUUUAUGAUCAAGUUUAUCUAUGAACAAUAUUUGAAUCUUCUCUGAAUUCUUUUAUGUAUGAUUGGUUAUCUUUGCAAGUCUCUUCGAAUUAUCAUUUUGGUUUGGCCUACUAGAUUGAUCUUUCUUGCAAUGGGAGAAGUGCUUAGCUUUGGGUUCAAUCUUGCGGUGUCCUUUUCCAGUGACAGUAGGGGCAGCAAGGCACGUAUUGUAUUGUUGCCAUCGAGGAUAACAAGAUGGGGUUUAUAUCAUAUUGCAUGAGUUUAUCCCUCUAUAUCAUGUCAUCUUGCUUAAAGCGUUACUCUGUUCUUAUGAACUUAAUACUCUAGAUGCAUGCUGGAUAGCGGUCGAUGUGUGGAGUAAUAGUAGUAGAUGCAGGCAGGAGUCGGUCUACUUGUCUCGGACGUGAUGCCUAUAUACAUGAUCAUACCUAGAUAUUCUCAUAACUAUGCUCAAUUAUGUCAAUUGCUCAACAGUAAUUUGUUCACCCACCGUAAAUACUUAUGCUCUUGAGAGAAGCCACUAGUGAAACCUAUGGCCCUCGGGUCUUUUCCAUCGUAUUAAUCUUCCAACACUUAGUUAUUUUUAUUGCCUUUUAUUUUACUUUGCAUCUUUAUCAUAAAAAAUACCAAAAAUAUUAUCUUAUCAUAUCUAUCAGAUCUCACUCUCGUAAGUGACCGUGUAGGGAUUGACAACCCCUUAUCGCGUUGGUUGCGAGGAUUUAUUUGUUUGUGUAGGUGCGAGGGACUUGUGCGUGGCCUCCUACUGGAUUGAUACCUUGGUUCUCAAAAACUGAGGGAAAUACUUACGCUACUUUGCUGUAUCACCCUUUCCUCUUCAAGGGAAAACCAACGCAGUGCUCAAGAGGUAGCAAUGGUUCGCUUAUUCCUCAUUCUGGCAGCAUAAACACACUGCACAGGGUGCUGCAGGUUUCGUUUCACCAAUUUGCCAGACAUCCGCAAGCGAUCGUGCAGCGCAAGCGAGAUAAAAAUUUAUAUUUCCAACGGUGCCCAAGAUGAUCAAAACUCUACCAUGCCCAACACAUACUCACGGCCAAGGAAGAACGACGCGUGUGCCGAACGCACAGAGAACGAAGUUACCGUCCGUAGUCAGGUGCCAACUGAAGGUGUGCUCGACAUUCUGUAUCACGGUCCACUGGUUUAAUAGUUCAACAAUCGCCGAGAUAAAUGGAGCUCCCCUGAUAGCUUGCAACCACUUGGCCUCUGGCAGAACCUCAACAACCAGCUGACAUCGCACCGCCAGCCUCACAUGUGCGUCGUCCCACACUCCUGCCAUCGAACCACCGGUCCGACCAAUACUCGAUAUUAGAUCUGUGCCCUAGCGAACACUCCACCGCGGCAUCGAACAAAGCACACGCCUCAUGAGGAACAUCAAUCUGCAGGCCUCCCUGAGGCUUGCACACUCAUGCCUUUUCAUACGAUGCAGGUUCUUGACCCCCAGCCCACUGAACUCCAUCGGCGUGCAAACCAGCUUCCAAUUGACCAGACAUCCUCCCCCUUUGCUUCAGCAUGCCCACAUUAGAAAAAAUCCCGACAGACCUUGUUGAUGCAAGAGAGAAACCACAACGGAAGAUCGAGAACGAGCACAGGGAAGAUCGCCGUAGCGAUGAGAGUCAAGUUAAUCAGAACCAACCUCCCAGUACGUCAGAGCAUUGAGGCUUUCCACAUCGGCAGAUGGCUGGCACCACGAUCCACAUACGGCUGCAGGUGAAUCUUGGACAGACGUGUCACAGAGAGAAGCAACCCCAAGUACGUGGCAAGAAAGUUGAGCACAUGGCAUCGAAGUGAUUGCAACACGCACGCAGCGGUGACCUCAUCACAUCUGAUGAGGGAGGCAGAACCCGCAGCGGUGACUCAAAGCGGUGUAAUGAACCUUUGCCGCGCCAUCACCGCUGCUCCGACGCACGGCAGCCAUGCCACGUGGCACCCGUGGAGGAAGAAGGAUCCCAGCCGUCGGAUGAGGCAUGAACGCUGGAUCCACCAGACAGCUGGGGAAAACCAUUACUCGCGUGACGUGUACCACGCGGCCACUCUCUCAACCCCUCCCCCGACCGCCGCCGCCACCGCCUCGUGACUUCCCGAACCGUCUCGCCGCCUACCCCCGCCGGCCACCGGUGGCCGAAGCAGGCGCUGGCCGGUAGGCCGGACCGCCUCCAACCCUAAGCGCGCACCAGCGGAAUCGCCGCGACUCCGAGUCCCUCGAAGCGGGAGGGAGGGGGACCAUGGAGUCGGAGGUAGUGAGGGCGGAGAUGCUGCUGGCGCCGACGAUGGCGUUCAAGAAGGUGCAGACGGCCGACAAGUACCCCAAGGGCCAGUCCCGCGGCCGCCAGUGGAAGCACCUCCGCCACCUCCUCCAGGCCGCCGACGCCACCUCGCUGCCCCCGGACCGCCCCAACUGUGAGCGCCUCUCGAUCCCCUUCCUGCUGCUAGUUGCCCAAUUAUUGGAGAUUUCGUCUGCAAAUCAAGUGCUUUGUACUAGAUUUUAGGCCUUCCUGUGCUUGUUGAGGUGUUUUAAGACUGUUUGAUGAUCCAGUUUAGGACUAGAAACUUGUGGUGACUAGAGAUUGAAAAUUGGAACUGCAUGAUGGAUUUUUUUUAAGUGCCCACCGAUGCUGGGAGCUUGCACAUUGUGCUGUAUUUUGGUGCUAACAAAUAGCAGCAAUUGAAUUGGUUCUUCUUAUGUUACAGAAUACAAACUCACAAUUCACUUUAGAGCCUUAUAGAUGCAGAUACUUCCUCCUGAAACAUCAUUGUUUUCUCAAUUUAUAGGGAGUGUUUUUUGUAGAAUAAAAUUUGGUUCUGCACUCGUGCUUGAUAGAAUAGGUCAAUAGAUUGUUGGCUUUGUGUCUCAUAUUCAUAACUUCUGAAGUGUUAGCUUCCACUGCUAAGGCGAUUAGACAGCUCUUACAUGAACUUGUGUCUCUCAGUUACGAGUAUAAAGCUGGAUAACACUCUAGAUUUUCGUUUUUGACAUUAGCGAAACAAGUUAUUUGUGUGUUCAGGUAGUCUACACCUGUAGUAUUUAGAGCAAAUUGUUGUGGCGAAUAUAAUGUUCACAGUAUGUUCUUUAUGCAGAUUUAAAUAUUCAGUCACCCCCAUCCGUUUAUCCACCAAAGAGAUAUUGUGACGUUACAGGUUUUGAGGUAAGUCACCCCUAUAGACUCCCAACUGUUGAUUUACAUAUCCUGAAAUGCUUCUAAAUGAUAAGGUUUGGAAUUUGAAUAUAUUUAGGUCUGAAGUAGAUCAUAAUGCUGUGUCCUGUGUUUACCACAAUUUUGUUUAUCAUGCUAAGCUGCAUGUUUAUAUGCAGUGUUAAUUGGUUGCAAACUCUCCCGGUGAGAUGAAAUUUUGCGCUGUGCUUAACAAGGCCUAUAAAUUUGAAGGAAUAAGUUGAUACUUUGAGUUUAGUUAUUCUCCCAGUAGCUGGCUCAUAGGAAAACUCAGUAAGUAGCUUAUGAGCAGCUAGAUCUAAGACAUAGCAGUACCGGUAGAGAUCAACAAAAAAUAGUUCCAUGUUAGAGAUCGUGGCCAUAAUGUUAUCUUUUAUGUCUUAUAAUUACUCUCCAACAUUUUGUUUGGAGUUCUUCACUGUCCUCACUUAUCUGCUUUGUAUGAACCAACACAAGCCUUUUUUAAAAGCAACUCGGAUGUAUUAUUGACAAGAUAGGUUUGUGUGUGCAACCUAUUAUUUGACGCUGUAUGAUCAGGUUUUGUGUAGGUUGAAAUCAAAUAAACUCUGGCCAGUUAAAUUUGUGAUUAUCUGAAAGUUGAUUGUGUUUGGUAACUUCUAACUAGUAACUACUACAAAAAAGUACCGCUAAAUAAUGUGAGAAUUGUAUGGAUGACCCACUGAAAGCUCUAAUUCAGCAUUGUUCUAAUUGCUUUACUCCAUUUCCCCCCUUUUUUUUGCAAGAGUUCACUCCAUUUUUCAGAAUUAUUGACUGUAUACUUUUUGCAAUGUUCCUCAGAUUUGGUUUUAUGCUGUCUAAUUAAAUUUUGCAUAUGGAUAUUCAUCUGUGUGGAUGUUAAUGUAAUUCGAGGCUAAUACAAUAUUGUUGCAAUCUUUUAAGGAGACAAAAAAACAGGGUCGUAGUUAUUUUGAUCUUUGAAUUGUACUGUUAAUAUGAGUGCUUUUUGAUUCAACUUGUUGGCAUAGCAGAAACCCAGCAGGACUGUGUUGGAACAGAAUCCAGAUUGAGCUGCUAAAAUUGUGACUUAUUUUGGAAAAAAUGUUGUGAACAGAUUUCACUAUCAACCUAAAUUUAGAUGUUUUUGGUAGCUUUCAUACUGCCACUUAUGUAGGGGUGUUCAAUUGCUGUUUACACAGGUUGACCAACCUGUGGACCAACAAACUUACUAGCACUCAUGUAUCACAGUUUUGGAAAAUUACAAAAUUAGCAAUGUGUUGAUGAUUUAGCACAGUUUGUAAAAGUCCGGUGUGGACACCCCUAAACAUAUGUAAUUAAAGUCUGCUGUUCUAACAGAUCCCUAUAUGAAUGAAGUAGGAGUCUUCAUGAAUGAAAUACACUAGUAUAGUUGGUAAAUAUUUUUAUAAUACAGUAUUAAUAACAUAGUCCCCAUAAAACAUGAACUUAAGUGUAUACGCAUAUUAUAGAACUUAAGAGUUGAAAACUUGAUUAGUGUUUUGGGUUAGUUUACUAAUGUUUUAGAACAGGCAGGUGAACUAAAAUCAAUACUUCUCAGUUGUAAUGUUCUUUUCACAGUUCGUAUCUCUCUCGCGGCCUCUGCGAACAACAUGUUUAGUUAAUUUCAACUUGGUACUGCCAUGUAUAGUAUUACCAAGGGUCAUAAACUUCACUGCACGUCUGCAGCUGUUAGUAAUGCAUGAACAAUUUGAACAUCACCCUACUGACAUCUGUACUAAUAGUUCACAUUUUCACCCACAUACGCAUCGCCGUAAUAAAUGAAUCAACCCUAAUGAUAUGACAAUCGUAUUGGUCGAACUCAAGGCUUGGAGGCAGGGCAACUGACCCAAAUGAAGCAGCACCCAACACUGGCCAUCUGUCCUAAGCCUGGAUUUUGCUGACUGCUGAGGACUGUAGUCCAGAUGAUGCAGUGUGUUGGCGAGAGAUAGAAGAAAAUUACAUAGAACACCAAAGAAGAAACUAAUAACACAAACAUCUGUGUUGCCGCCAAGAACCUACUUGUAUCUCAUCAACCAGUCCAAGUAUGUUCCAUGUUGUGCUGUAUCGUGCAUGACCUGUUUGUUGCUGCAUACAUGCCGUCAUUGGUUACAUAGUUUCAGUAGCACUAGCUGAUGCAUAUAUAUCUGAUACAGAGCAUUUUUGGUUGCCCAUUAGGUGCCGUCCCUUGUUACAGCUGUUAGGGAGUACUUUUUACAAGUCUGACCCUUUUACCUUCAUGCAGGCACCAUACGUGGAUCCGAGGACGAAGCUGCGCUACGCUGACCCAGAGGUGUUCAGGCAGAUCAGAAUGCUUCCUGAAGAAUACGUCCAGAGGUACCUGGCCGUGAGGAACGCAGCGGUUGUACUGCGAUAACAAGAUCCCCGCCUUACCGUGCCUGUUCUUACUAGCGAAUGUCCCGCUCUUUGAUCUGAAUAGACAUCAUCCUUUUCCUCCUGAUCGCGUUGCUAGCUCACAUGGGUAUUCUGAAUGUAGAAGAACUAGGCUACUGAACCCUUGUGCAAUUGAGAGAGAUAUUUUGCUUCUGUGUACUGUCAUCGACGUGCCUUUUGUGCCACUCUGCCCUGUUAUCCCUGUUGCUGGUGUGUUGAGAGUUGAUGGUUAAAUAUGUCGUUAGUCCGGGAAUCGGCUGUCGUUCUGAAUGACCGUAGAUACUGGCACUUGGGCAAGUCGCAACAAGUACAAAUUUAUUGGGGGAAAAGGCAUCCGCGUAGUUUCUUUUAAAAAGUUUUCCGAAUAGGCGUCUGCAUAGUUGCAACAAGUGCAAAUUUAUUGCUUUCAAGGAGCGGCCAUACCUGAAUUCGGACCGAAGGAAGGAAUUACCAUAAUCCGCAUUCGUAUUCAAAUGGUCUCAGAAUAAAUCAUUUACAGUCAUACUAGCAUUUUCAGGAGUUGGUCGUGCACAUUUUCUUACUUUUAUAAUCCAUCGACGUGUAACAUCGCCCUGACAAUUUUUACACUAAAGUUGCCAUAAAAAAACCCCAAAAAAGAUGAAAGUUGCUAUCCAAACAGAAAGUUGCCAUGCUUCACAACUAAAAUUCCCAUCCUCGGGUAACCAAACUUGCAUAAAAAAAAAUAUCAGUGCGAAAUUGCUUCGUGCCACACCUCUUUUUACCGGUUCCGGUAUGUACCGGUACAACAUCCACCACACAGUGCCUUUUAAGAUCUAUGCAGUUGCGGUCCUACUCUAUAAGUAUAUCUCUGUAUUGUCCAACUUCUAUUUUCGUAUCUCAGCACUUAAGUCAAAUAGUGAUCCCAUCCGCACAUGUAUGACACAUAUUCUCUCUCCUCCCAACAAUGGCACGGACAUAAUCGCUCGCAUCUCUCCCUCACUAAAUUCAUGUCCUUUUAUUUCUCUUUUGAUACUUUCAAUCAUUCAUAUCUUUUAAGCUACAAAAUUAUUUUUAAAACUUUUGUUAUAUUUGAAUUCCUAGCGACGAGACCUUUCGAACAAGACCAAUCUUCAAUGCAUUUAAACUAGUUUCAAUUUUACCAUUUCAAUCAAAUUUAUGUUGACUGAACUAUGUUAAAAAUCUAUGUUUUUAAAUAAGUGAAAUGAUUUUUGAAUUGAGUGAAAUCUAGUUUUGAAACAAGUGAAAUUGUUGUUUAAAUGAUAGUUCUUUUGAAAUAAAUGAAAUAACCUUUCUAAAAUAAGUGAAAUUAAUUUUUUGAAAUGAGUGAAAUCUUUCUUUUCAUACACAUGACAGAUAUUCUGGUGUGAAAUACAUGAAAUUAUUUAUUUCAAAGUUUUGAAACUAGUUAUUUGAGACAAGUGAAAUAAGUGUUUUGAAAUGAACGAACUCACUUUUCCAACAUAUGCUUUUUAACUGAGUGAAAUCUGUAUUUUGAAACGAUCGAAACUUGUUUUCUUAACUGUGUGAAAUUAUUUUCUCGAAAAUGAGUGAAAUCGGUUAUUUCAAAUAUGUGAAUCUGUUAUUUUAAAAUAUACGAAUCAUGUGUUUUUGAAAUACGUGAACUCAGCGAAAUAUGUGUUCUGAAAUAAGUGAAAUCAGUUUAUCUAAACUACGCGAACCAAGUGUUUUGUAAUGAGUGAAACCUUUUUUUAACACAUGAAAAAUAGAUUUCUCAAAGGAGUGAAAUGUGCCUUUUCAAUUAAGUGAAAUACUUUUUUUUUGGAAGAAGUGAACAACAUUUUUUCUGAAUGAAGUGAAAUAGGUUUUUUGAAUUGAGUGAAACCAGUUUUAUGAAAUAAGUGAAAUCAUUGUUUGAGUGAGUGAAAUCGUUUCUUGAAAUGAAUGAAAUAUAAUAUUUGAAACGAGCAAAAUCUGUUCUAUGAAGCGAGCGAAUUUGUUUUUUUCAUUUGAGUGAAAUCGGUUUCUUCAAAUAACUGAAAUGGGUUAUUCAAAACGAGUGAUAUCAAAUGAGUGAAGUUAGUUUGUAAGUUCCAUAUUCCAGUUUGUGAAAAUGUUUGAAACCGUAGAUAUCACUUAUGUGAAAUAGUGAAACCUUUUUAAUGUUUUAUGGAAAUGAUUUCAAAGAUAAUUGAAAUAUAUAUAUAAAAAUGUAGUUCAAAUAUAUCCAAAAUUGAUCUUGUACUGAAGGUCUUCACACCACGAAUUCAAAUAUAUAAAAAGUUCAAUAAUGAAUUUUGGUUCAAACGGUAUGAAUCGCUAAAAAAUUGAGAAUGAAAAUAAAAAUGCAUGUUCAUUGUACGUGGUGAGAGAAUGCAUGCAUGCACUUUCUCUUUUUUUUUGCGGGGUAAAAAUGAAUUUCAUUACUCAAGGAGGCCGUUCAGCCAUACAAAGAUUUACAAUGUCGUGCAAGCCAGAUCCCAACCACACGGCGGUGCGAGGGGUACUAUGACCAUAAGCGGCAAGAGCAUGACUAACAGUGUUUUGAGAGCGACUAAUAUGGCUAAUAGAAAUCUUCCGAGGGUCAUCUCCAAUUAACCCAAGAAUCUCUUGCACCAAUACACGAUGGUUCGAGCGAUGCACGGACGGCGAGUUAAGCAUCGACACCGCUUCCAAACUAUCCAUCUCAACGACAAUCGGCAACUCAGUAUGGUGGAGGGCGAGAGCCAGCCCUUCACGCAUGCAUGCAUUUUCUCUCCACUGUAAAAGCUGACACUGUCUGACGCAAGUACAUGUAUAGCUCUAUUUAAUCUGCUGUAUUUGCACAUGAAAAGAAAUUGUAUAAAACCUGCACAAAUCUUGAUGAAACUGAUGAACGGUGGAUUGCGCACCGGUACAUACCGGCACCGGUAAAUUUACUAAUUCGCCCAAACUAUAUGCGUGUGAGUGCGAGUGAACAAGCAGCAAGCAAAGGGAAAGUGCACGCCGAUUCGGCCAAUUUCUUUCAGGCAGCUGCGACCAGCUCUGUGCGUGUGCGACGGUACGUAUAUGCAUGCGUGUUGCGGCACCAUCCGGGAAGCGAGGAAAAUCUCCCAAGUAGCAGAAGAUGACGACGACCAAGAAUAUGUGAGUGGCGACGACUGACGAUAGCAACCGCCGUCGAGAAGAAGAAGAUGCGGAGAGACGACAUCCAUCCAUGGUCUCCCUCCCAGUCAAUACGUUCCACUAGGCGGAUCCGUUGAACCUGCUCGCAUGCAUGCCCCGUCCUGCUCGCCAUUGGCACCGGCACCGCGCGCGCGCCUAAAUAGAAGCGGAGGCGGCAUGGUUUCUACGUACCUGCUUAGCUCGCUCGCCAACCAUCGCAAGCGAAGUAGCUAGCUAAUGGCGCCGAUCCACAGCAAGCAAACGCUGCUGGCGCUGGCGCUGGCGCUCGCGUUUGUCAGCGUCGUGGCGGCGCGAGGGGAAGCGCUGCCCGCCGCCCGGCACGAGCGGUGGAUGGCCAAGUACGGGCGCGUGUACGCGGACGCCGCCGAGAAGCUGCGCCGGCGGGAGGUGUUCGCGGCCAACGCGCGCCACAUCGACGCCGUCAACCGGGCGGGCAACCGGACGUACACGCUCGGGCUCAACCAGUUCUCCGACCUCACCAACGAGGAGUUCGCGGAGACGCACCUCGGGUACCGUCACCAGCCCGGCGGGCUCGCGCCGGCGGCCGCGGUGAACGUGUCCAUGGCUCAGCUGCAGUCCACGCUCCCAGACAGCGUGGGCUGGAGGGCCCGGGGCGCCGUCACCCCAGUCAAGUACCAAGGUCACUGCGGUAAGAAUCAUCUGCACCUCCUGCAUGCAUAGCAUAGCAUAUACCAUUGGACAAAGUUGGCAAAUGAAUAAGGGAAUGUUGACACGUCGUUUGCGUGCGUGCAGCGAGCUGCUGGGCGUUCGCGGCGGUGGCGGCGACGGAGGGGCUGGUGCAGAUCGCCACCGGCAACCUCAUCCCCAUGUUAGAGCAGCAGGUGCUGGACUGCACGGGCGGCGCCAACAGCUGCAAGAGUGGCCACGUCAACGCCGCCCUAACCUACAUCACCGCCAGCGGCGGCCUGCAGACGGAGGCAGCCUACGCGUAUGGCGCCAAGCAGGGCGCGUGCCGCAGCGGCGGCCUCGGCCCAAAUCCGGCCGCCUCCGUCGGCGUCCACCGGUCUGUGACACUGCACGGCGACGAGGGCGCGUUGCAGGCGCUCGUGGCCAGCCAACCGGUGGCCGUGGCCGUGGAGGCCGACGCUGACUUCCACCACUACAGGAGCGGCGUGUACGUCGGCAGCCCGUCGUGCGGGCGGAACCUGCACCACGCCGUCACGGUGGUGGGCUACGGGGCGGACGGCGGCGCCGGCGGGCAGGAGUACUGGGUGGUGAAGAACCAGUGGGGGGCUGGGUGGGGCGAGGGGGGCUACAUGCGCCUCACGCGCGGGAACGGCAACAACUGCGGCAUGGCCACCCACGCCUACUACCCCACCAUGGACACCUCUUGAAAACCACAUCAGUAGUCCAUGCAGCAUCGAGUAUGGUUUAUCAGCUAGCUACAGAACGAUGCAGCUGCAGUACCACGUAAACGUACGUAUAUAUGGAUUUUGGUUUUUGGAUAAUGAACAUCGAAAGCAUGGAAUGAUGCGUUCGCCUAUGUAAUAGUAUAAACUUGGAAACUUGUAUAUGCCAAUUUUCCUUCUGCUAGCUGUUCAUCAACCAAAAUGGGUCAGCAAAAAAAUUGACAAACUACGUCGUGCUUUCUUAUGGGCUGGCUCCGAUGCCGUCUGUGGAGGCAAAUGCCUUGUCCGCUGGACCCAGGUGUGCUCACCCAUCUCCAUUGGCGGGCUGGGCAUCCAUGACCUACAAGCUCAGGGGCGAGCGCUUAAAGUUCGCUGGCUUUGGCAGCGCGCCACAGAUCUGGAUAAGCCACGGCAAGGUCUGCAACUUCCUGUUGAUAAGCAUGUUAAGGCUCUUUUCAUUGCUUGUACCUCCAUCAAGAUUGGCAACGGCAUUAGGAUCUCCUUUUGGCAUGAUCACUGGCUCGGCGGCGAGACUCCGGCUGUUUCAUUUCCUAACCUUUUCAAGCACAGCAAGAACAAAAAAAUAUCAUUGCCUGAAGGUCUCACCAAUAGAAAAUGGGUCACCCUUCUCAAGCGCAACACAGGCAUCGAUGUGCUGCGUGAAUAUAUUGAAUUCUGGCACAGAUCCAGGGUGAUCACUUUGUCCAACCUAGAGGACGAGUUCAUUUGGAAAUGGUCGUCUGAUGGAAGAUACAAUGCUAAGUCAGCUUACCUAUGUCAAUUCUGGGGCAAGAUUGAUUCUCCUCUACCUGAGAUCAUAUGGCAUAUUAAGGUUCCACCAAAAAUAAGAUUCUUGAGCUGGCUCUUUGUACAGGGCAAAUGUUUGACUGCAGAUAACCUUGCAGAGCGGGGUUGGCCUCACAACCCGGUCUGUCAACUAUGUCAUUUAGGGAUGGAAGACAGCCUGCACCUUGUAGCUAGCUGCCGUUUCACGGCUGGAAUCUGGGGCUAUUGCUUGGCGAUAUAUAAGUUUCCCUUCAACCUCCUGCCUACUGCUCAUGAUGGCUCUCUAUUGGACUGGUGGUUAAAGGCUCUGGAUGGUAUAGGUACAAGCAGGAAAAAGGAUCUCUCAUCUCUAAUCAUGGCGGUUUCCUGGCAUGUUUGGAGUGAAAGAAACAACCGUAUAUUCAAUAAUAAGGUAACCCAUUUCCUGAAGGUCGCUGAGAGCAUCAUCAACGAGCUCAACUCUUGGAGAAUCGCUGGAUUCAGAGGAGCUCAAUGGACUGGCGCAGGAUAGCAUUCUUUCCUCCUUCCAUGUGUACAUUUAUAUAGCUUUUACUUCUCCUUUCUGGCUCUCAGCCGUUCUGUAAAUCUUGAACUGUAUCUCUUGGGGUGACUCAUCCUAUCUUAAUGAAUGAAAUCAGCACAAUGUUGUUUUUCGUCAAAAAAAAAAAAAUCAAUGGAACGGACGUUCUGAAUGUUCUUCUCAUGCCUCGCCUUUUCCAUGCCUGUUCUUCUUCCUCUCACAACCCGACACAAAUCUGGAUCUAGUUUAGCUGCACGCCAGUCGCCUGAAAAUCCAAUUUUGGUCAGUUGAUUUUUGCUAGAAGGAAGCAGCCGCCGGAGGGAAGGAAGAAGCAACCGCCACUCGCUAGAGAAGCUAUCCCAUUAUCUAGCUGCCCCAUGAUCUAUCUUAGGGGUGUUGUGGGUGCAAGUUCGUCGGAAAAAAUGAUGCAUGGCCGGGGGAGGGGCCGCAUUGGGGGGAGGGCGGGGCGGCGAGGCUGACGCGGGAGCGCCACGGGUGGUCGAGGGGAAGAGGAUGAACAGGAAGUUAGUCUGGAGGUGAAGAAGCUAAUCCGACCAUUCAUCUCGCAUCCGACGACUUAAAACAAUUGAUUGAUCGAAAAUAUUUUUUUCAGGCGGUUGUCAUAUAGCUAAUUCCAUCUGGACUCAAUUUUUUCACCAAAAACAGUAGGAUAGGCCACCUUGCAACAUUAUAUUAAAAGAACCGUCCAAAAUGUUCACAAGAAAAAAAAACAUACUUGCAUCUCAUCAACCAGUUCAAGAAUGCCCAUGUUGAUGUACUGUGUAUGACCUGUUACAAGUCUGAUACUUGAACCUAUAAUAAACCUAUCUUCAUGCAGGCACGAUACGUGGAUCUGAGGACGAAGCUGCGCUACGACGAUCCAGAGGUUUUCAGGCAGACCAGAAUGCUUCCCGAGGAGUACGUCCAGAGGUAUCUGGCGGUGAGGAACGCGCAGCUGUGCUAAGAUAACAAGCUCCCGGCGUUGCCGUACCUGUGUAUACGAGGAGCCACUGUCCCGCUCUUGGAUCUGAAUAGGCAUCGUCGUUUCCCUCCUCAUCGGUUGCUAGCUGAAUCCGCUCCCUGAAGCUCAAACAAACAGGGCAUGAGUGUACAAGGACUAGCGUACUGAGAGCAUCUCCCGCCGUUGGCCCCCCAAGCGGUGAUUUUACGCGCCCCCGAGGACGAGCCGGCGAUAAAAUCGGCACGGGGGCGAGCGGGUUCCCAGCCGCUUGCCCCAGGGUCGCCCUAGACGUGUAUUUUUUUUAUUUUAAAACAUCUGAAUUCGGCAAAGUUGGGCCAAACUCGGCAUAAAUUCGGCUAACUUGACAUUCAUAUUUAACAUGUUCGGUGUUUACAUAAAUUAUAUAUAUAAAAAGACAUCUACGGGGCGAAGAAGUCGCUGAGCGCGGCGAAGUCGCCGACGUCGCCGCCGUCCUCGUCGUCGUCGGCGGCCUUCUCCUUCUUGAUGGCGCGGCCGCCCCUGCUGCUGGACCCCUGCCCGGCGUCUCCAAGGCAGACCGGUGGCGGCGGCGCGUCGUCGUCGUCGCCGUCGUUGAGGACGAUGACGCCUCCCUCGUCCCGGCCGCGGCACCGGGCUUCGAAGCGCUCCAAGGCGAGGAUCUGGCGCUGCAGCUCCGUCUGCGCCCAGUCAUCGCGCGCCCAUUUCAGGGCCGCCUCGUCGUCGAGCUCCUCCUCCUUGACGCCGCCGGCGAGCCCCGGCUCCCGCUUGACGACGGCGAGCCCCGGCUCCGUCUUCGGUUUGACGAAGCGCGGAGGUGCUGAGGAGGAGGCGCGCCGGCCGCCCUCGUUAAUGACGAUGCCGGCGCGCCGACUGAGCGGCGUCUCCCCGGCGGGCUCUGGCUUGACGCCGAAGAGCGCCGGCGAGCCGAUAGAGUGGGAGGAGGAGGAGGAAGAGCCNNNNNNNNNNNNNNNNNNNNNNNNNNNNNNNNNNNNNNNNNNNNNNNNNNNNNNNNNNNNNNNNNNNNNNNNNNNNNNNNNNNNNNNNNNNNNNNNNNNNNNNNNNNNNNNNNNNNNNNNNNNNNNNNNNNNNNNNNNNNNNNNNNNNNNNNNNNNNNNNNNNNNNNNNNNNNNNNNNNNNNNNNNNNNNNNNNNNNNNNNNNNNNNNNNNNNNNNNNNNNNNNNNNNNNNNNNNNNNNNNNNNNNNNNNNNNNNNNNNNNNNNNNNNNNNNNNNNNNNNNNNNNNNNNNNNNNNNNNNNNNNNNNNNNNNNNNNNNNNNNNNNNNNNNNNNNNNNNNNNNNNNNNNNNNNNNNNNNNNNNNNNNNNNNNNNNNNNNNNNNNNNNNNNNNNNNNNNNNNNNNNNNNNNNNNNUGCCAGCGGCGGGUUGUUGCCGCCCUCGAGGUACUCCAGCACCCCGUGCAAUGUGCGGCCGGGGACGCCCCACCAGAGGCGGCGGCUGUCGCUGUUCUUGAUGCCCCCCACGACUGGCGCCCCGUUCGUGGACGCCAGCCGCUGGAAAUACUCCGCCCAUGCCACGUGGUUGUCGGCGGCGUACUGGGGGAGGGCGCGCUGCUCUUCAGUCAGGGACGACCACACGCGGUCGACCUCGGCGGCAAAGAUGUCGGGGCGCGCGUCGACGUCGGGCACCGGGGGGAUGGGGACGCCGCCGUUGCUGAGCCUCCACCCCGUUGGCCCGACGCGCAUGUCCGGCGGCGCCGGGAUGUUGGCCUCGAAUAGAAGCCACGCCUCCGACGACUGGAGCGAGCGGCGGCCGAAGCCGUUGGCCGCCGCGGCGUCACCGGGGAAGCGUUCGGCCAUCGUUGGAGAGGGAAGGAGGGAAGGGGAGGACGGGGGAGAUAGAGCUCGGCGGCACGGACGGGAGAGAGCAGAGCUCGGCGGCGGCUGGUUUGGGCUCGGGCUGGUGUGGCCAGCGGCGAGGGGGAGCGGCGCGUCUUUAUAGCCCUCGCUGUGUGUACGCGUGGCGGGAGGGGAGGCGUCGCCGGGCCGCCCGUGACGCGCUGGCCCGUGAGGAAUCAAUGGAAGGCUGACCGACGGCAGCCUUGCCAUUGAUUCCCCGCGGGAAACCGAGACGCUCUGGGGGAAGACGAGGCGUCGUCUCGCUAACGCGGCUGGCCCACGACUCUUUCGCGCCAAAACCGUUCGCCCCGGCGCCCCCCAACGCGCCGGGUUCGGCCUGGGUCCGCCGACGUCAAUUUCGGCCCAAACCGGCAAAAAAGGAGCUCCUGGGCCAAUUUUUAAACGCCUGGGAAGGGCCUGUUAGGGGCGCGGCUGGAGAUGCUCCGAGUGUACAUGGACUAGCGUACUGAACCCUCGUGCAUUUCAGAGAGUGCCUUGUGUGCGUCUCUGUUCUGUUAUUCCUCAUGCUGGUGUUUUGAGAGUUGAUCGUUAAAUACUAUAUGUUGUUAGUAUCACUUCCUGCAGUAAAUUACAUAUCUGCUCCUUUUGAAGAAUAUGGAUUCAGAUUAUGAAGUAUAAAAACACAACAUCGAACACAUAAAGAAGAUGAAACAAUCCAAGAUAACACCAGACAUAUUAUAGUUAACCACACUGUUAAUCUUGAUCCUUGGAGGCAAACCAAAACCAUCCCUAUGGUAAAAGUUUAAAAGGAGCAACAAGUUUAGCAUGACUCAAAGUUUUUCAACUGAAAGCAUGAUUCUUCGUUGCAUCGCACAAAGGCUCGGCUCUAUGCAGGAACUCCACUUCGGCUUCACAAUAGGGCGAUGUCUACAUCGACUACAGUUCACAGCAGACUGCGGAGACAAGCAUCUUGCCAAGUUAUUUCCCCAAUAUAAGCUAAUCGCAUGUAGAUUUUAUUAGAAUCAGGUUCCUGCAAUAGCAACAGAAGUACGCGUAAGUUCUAAUAAUAUAUAUGAAUCACAUAAUAUUUUCUCACAGUAGACAGCAUUUAAGCAGAAAAUAUGACAAGUGAAAAUAUUGAGCGGUUACCUUGUUUACUGUAACACACAAAAUUCUGGCACCGGCAACAAACGAUGAACCACAAUACAUGAAUUUACUAGAGAGAAGGCAUGAAUAUAUGAAUUUUACUAGAGAGAAGGCAUGUACUAGCAAGUAUAAGAAACAACAGACAUAGCUUUGACAUCAAGGGUAAAUGACUGCCAAUGCAGGUUAUAUAUUCUACUGAAUUUGUUAAUUUUCAUCUAGAUGAGAAUUAAUAAAGUCUCAUAUAACUCCUACACUAUUUGAUUAACAAACAAAAAAAUAAAAGAAAAAAAUCCCCACGAAUCUCCGCGUAAAAUCCAACAGUGUAGGAGUUAGAUGACAUAGUUAGUUCUCAUCCACUCCCUCCGUUCCUAAAUAUAAGACAUUUUGGUAGUUCAAAUUGAAAUGCCAAAACCUCAUAUAUUUAGGAACAGAGGGAGUAGAUGAGAGGUAGACACAUCCAUAUUUUAUUUCAUAAGAGCAUGCAACAAUCAGUCAUUUUGUGAACCUUCAACAACCAUUAUGGUAGUCUGCAUUCGACUCCACUAACGUAUGUUUUAACAUAUGCAUCAUCAGCAACAACGCAGUUUCUUAUACCUGGGUCAUGUUUGACAUUACCAACCUGAUAUGCUAGCAAUACAGAAUUAUGAUUUGUUAUUGGAUGAACGUAGAAUAGCUAAUUUCACAUAAUAACUUUAUUUGUUUAUUUUCCUCAAAUACACAUGACAAACUCUGGCAAAGUCACAUUUAUAAAGAACUUCGGCUGUGGCAUGUCUGACCCCUUUAAAGCAGCACAAACUGAGCAUUUUCUUGAUAUCACAGCACUCAGCAAACAGGAUUUCAACUCAUAGAAUAGCACUCAAACAAAAUACACAUGCAUUCUAUAGGAUGACAGCAACUAAAAUUUAUAACAGCUGACAUGCAAGUUCUGAUGAAAUACUUAUCGACAUGAAGGCAUGUGAAACAAUAGUAAUUCUGUGAACUUAAUGCUUUUUAUUUCACAAGAGCAUGAAACAAUCAGUAAUUCCGUGAACCUUCACCAACCAUUAGAGCAUGGCAGGCUGCAUGCUCCACCAACGCAUGUUUUAACAUACACAUUAUCAGCAACAGUGCAGUUUCUGACACCUGGGUCAUGUUUGACAUUACCAACCAGAUAUACUAGCACUACAUAAUUAUGAUCUGUUAAUGUAUGGAUGUCGAAUAGCUAAUUUCAGGUCAUAAAGUUAUUAUUUAUUUAUUUUCCUCAAAUACACAUGACAAGAUCUAGCAAAGUCAUAUUGAUAAGGAACUUUGGCUGUGGCACGGUUUGCCACCUUUAAAGCAGCAAACUGAGGAUAUUCCCGACAUCACAGCAACUCAGUAAACAGGAUUUCAAUUCAUAGAGUAAGACUCAAACAGACAUGCUAUCUAAAGGAUGAAAACAAUUAAAAUUUAUAACAGCCAAGAGCCUGAGAGUAUAUGUCAUGCAGGUUGUGAUGAAACAAUUGUCAACAAGAGAGCCAAGAGCAAGCAUACCUUGGUGCACGAUUCCAUUGAACCUCAGUAGUCGCAGAACAAGCUUGGAAGCACCCACACCUGCGGCCUCCCAAAACCAACCCCUGGUUCACCUGGAUACUGUGCAGGGAAGCAUUUACAGGUCCCAUCGACCAGAGAAUACUCGCUCCAUCCCCCACUCCAUGGCAAUGAUCCAUACACACAGUCGGCACGGAUCCCUGGAACAUCUGGACCAAGGCACGCGACGAAAUCGUCGUAGCCAAUAAACAGCGUCCGCCCGCCGAGGCUCGUCGUCAUCACCCACUUCCCCACAUUGAAGUCCCACCGGAAAAUCUUGUAUUCCGGAUCGAUGCGCCCCACCUUGCAGAUAAGCAGGGGCUCGCCACCGCACUCCCCCAGCAAUGAUCCGCCCACGGUCUCCUUCAGAGUCUCUUCAAGGUCCUCGUCGAAUUCGCCCCCAAGCAUCCACAGCUCCAGUGUGUUGUCCUUGGGGAGCGAAGCCAUGACGAGCCCGCAGGAGGGGAGGAGCCCGUAGAGGGCGCCGUUGACGAUGCGCCAGUCCUGGAUCUCAAAGUCGCCGCCGUAGGACGCUACGGCCCAGUGGGCGUACCAGAGGCUGCAGUACUGGAUCUCGGUGCGGCCCCUCGCCGGGGCGAAGACGUAGCCGCCGCUGAGGAUGACGCGGCUGUACUCCAGCGGGGGCCUGGGGAGGCGGGCCUGCGCGCCGGAGAGGAGGUCGGUGACGAGGAUCUCGCCGGUGGCGCCGUCGACGGCGGCGACGCGGGCGCCGUCGGAGGUGAGGACGCCACCGGUCCUGGCGAAGGGGAGGCGGGCGCGGAAGCGGAGGAGGCGGCGGUCGGGGACGUGGAAGAGGGCGAGCGAGAAGGCGGCGCAGCCGGGCUCGAGGACCUUGAAGAGGGACAGCGAGGGGUCGGCGGUGUGGGGGACGAGGAGGUGCGGCGGCUGGUUCGCGAGCAGGGCCCGGCAGUUGGGGAGGGCGGCGCGGUAGGCGCGGCAGCCGGCGCGGAGGGCGAAGAAGUCGUGCAGGCUCGUCAGGUGCUUCGCGAUGUCCGGGACCAGCUCCGCGGGGAUGUACGGCCCGCCGGCGUCUCCGUCGCCGUCGACGGGGGCGUUGGCGGGCAGAUCUGGGCCGCCGUCGUUCGCGGCCAUCCUCCUCCCUCCCUCCUUCGCCGCGACCAGCACAAGAUGAUUUUAUCGGAGUCGAACGAAGUCGCGAGAUUUAGGGUGGCAACGGCCGGCGGAGCCCGGCGGCGACGGCACAAAAAGAGGGGAAACUGUCAAACCCUUCACCCACGUCGGCGCUUAUGUGAGAGGGGAGAAUUUCAGGUGCUCCUGCACCUCCCGUGUUACCCUGAUACAUGAAUUUGUGGUCCGUCAGAUCGGAGAUCAACGUUUAGUGUUGAAGCCUCUAGACCUGCGCAGAAUCAUGAUACUCUUUGAGGGGUUUUCUGCAAGUUUGAGCCAACUCUUGCCAUGACCGUCGGAUCUUCGAUCCAACGGACGACGAGUUCCUGUAUCAUCGUAGCACGGGAGGUGCGGGACACCUGGAAAUCUCAAAAUUAUGUGGGAGGAUUGUGCAAUUUGUGUAUGACAUUUUCUGAAGUUCUUUUUUUUUGAGAAAGGAUUAAAGUCCACCAACUGAUCGUGUCGUUUACGCCAAUGACGUAGGAAGUCGUUGGAUCUGCUUUAGUCGUGCGACAUAGGGUGCGCCCAUCGGUGGCUUCGGCCACCACCCAACUACCCAUACAUAUGUCUCAUCAACCAUCCGCACACACUUAUCCAUGUCUCAUCAACCAUCCGCACACACUUAUCCUCUCUGUAUCUAGUCCUGGCCACGGGAAGCCCAGCCCGGCCGGCCCGACCCGACGCUGCUCCCGGGCCGGGCUCGGGCCUGCCUUUUUUGCGUUUUUCUGAAGGGGCCCGGCCCGAGACCCGGCGGGCUUUUACACGUUCGGGACGGGCUUGGGCCCAAAAAAGCAGCCCGAUGGCCGGGCCGGGCCAGGCCCGGGCCUACGUCUUUUGCCUCGGACUUGGCUAGGCCUGGCCCGGCCCGAGGUUUGGCCAGGUAUAUCUGUAUCCAUCCUCAUCCUUAUCCUCCGGUAAGCAUUUAUCUUUCCUAAAUGAAUCCUCAAGCUUGCUCCCUUUCUUUCCAUCCUCCUUCCAGAAGCUUCCAAGGUUGUCGAUCCCUCUUUCCUCUCCUCUCUUUCCAAAUAAGUUGUAAGACAUGGGUAGAGGUAGCACUGCUGCAAAGAGUGGUAGGUUCGCAACAUCAUUCGUAUUGAAUGGGGUGACCACAACAUCGUUCGUGCUAGUAAUGCGCGACCGCAACGCCUUCCGCGUUGCAAUGAACGACCACAACGCCAUCCGUGUUGCAAUGAGCGACUACAACGUCAAUGGGCUUCCACAAUGUCGCAUAUGUUGCAAUGGGUCACCCAAUGUCGUUCAUGUUGCAAUGGGCAACCGCAACAUCAUCUGUGUUGCAAUGGUAGCAGUAGAAUGCUAUGUGGACACAGAGCUGAUAGCCAGCAACACAAACGAUCCCUUCCCAAGAUCAACGUGUUGACGGCUAGCGUCGACCAUGGGAACUAACAAACAACCACUAAUCACACCAAGCGAUUCGUCAACUGGAGCGGUCGCCACGUUUCCCUCACAGGGCCCACACAUCGCUUUCCCCAUCUACCCUUAUGCCUAACAGUGAGCACAACCACCUGUUGACCCUUUGUUUUUCUUCUUCGCCCAACCUCUUUUCUCCCUGGAUCUCGUCCCCUACUUGUUCUUUUCUCUUACCACUCUGGCAGCUCACCCUCGCACAUACCCCACAACCAUCCUGCAUCGGCAAGCAGAUGUUGCAACGCAGCGCAUGGCUGCAAGCCUACCUCAAGUAGACAAUAUUGCUUCGAGGGGCAGUUGCCAUGCUGCGAGGUUGCCAUCACACGUCGAUGUUGCAGCAACGCCGCGACAUGGCAGAAGAUGUUUCUAGGUCGUGACCAAGGAGAAGCGUCGUUGGUGCUGCGACCUGACAGUUAUUGUAGCAAGACAAUGGUUGCACCCAGUGUUGCAACUGGCUUUCUCGACGAUGUUGCAAGCGCAACCACCGGGGUGGGGGGGGGGGGGCAUGGUCAGUGCAUCGAAAAGGGCUCGAGGGUUGUAACAUCGUCAGGGGCUUCAAGCACAUCGAUGGAUUGCAACGUCGCUGGUGCCUUAGGCACAUCAUGGGGUUGUAACAACAUGUGGUUCAGGCACAUCGACGCGUGUCUCAUGCAAUUGCGAUGACCGCAACAUGGCCGAUGUUGCAAUGGCAACCACAAGGAUGUCCAUAUUGUGAUGGGCGGCCGCAUUAUUCGUUCGUGUUGCGCUGGUGGCAGCCUGACCCAACGACUACGUUGGGUCAGAUCCGACGGCUUGUAACCCGACUGAUCUUUGGCAAAGAUCAGUUUGGCCGAUGAGUUGUGCUGGCCUUUUAGAUGGAUCCAAGAUUGCUAUUAUGUAAUAAACCAAAACAUUUGGCAUAGGCUUUGCCUUAUUGGCUCGCAUGUUACUUGUGCAUCACUUGCUAAGAAAACUCCACCACGAAUUAGCUCCAACGAUAUUUUCGAUUCAGUACAGUCAACUGCUAGAUGGCGAAGACUGGCAAUCGACCGUCAUUGCCCAAUCCUCUCAAAGUGGAUGAAAGCUUCAACAUCCAUGUAGCUCUCCCACAAUCAUCGAUGAUGAGGAAGCUCCCUCCUGCCCUCCCCCACUCGGCCAGACAGAUUUCGGCACACGUUGCUACACGAGUCGAUGGCUACUUCUACGCACGUGGGGGGGGGGGGCUCUUUUCUCAUCAAUGCCACCGUUGCUGCAACACGAUGCGAGGAUGCUACAAGGCCUGGGUGCACCACUCAGUGGUGCUGCAAGGUAUCUCUUGUUGUGCUGCGAGGGAUCUCUCGUCUGCAACAUGGAAGAUGUUGCAAUGGUCGGAACCUUGCCGACGAUUGCAACGUGAAAGAUAUUGCGAUGACAAGAACCUUGGCGACAACUGCAAUGUGGAUGGUGUAGCAACUACAACAUGAGGGAUGUUCUGAUGGAUGGAACCUUGGCAAUGACUUCAAUGCAGGCCAUGUUGCAGAAGUUUGCAACAUAGGUCGUGGUCGGUGCAACUCUGUUUGGACGGAGGCGAGCAUCAAAGAGGUUUUUUUUGCGGCUGCAACAUUGGCCACUUUGCAAUGAUAGAAAACGCUUUGUACAUGGCGCAAACAUGCAUGGCUCAUGUUGCAACCCUCGAGCACAACACGAGCCAUGUUGCAAAUGGUUGGGGUAGAACUGAGUGAUUGAUGCGGCAGAGAUCGGACGACGCACACAUGAUUCAACGGCCAUGGAGGCGACCGAUCCGAUCCGUGCUUCAUUUGGCGACGCGUAGUGUUGUCCAUAGUAAUUUUUCCUCACAACCGUAACCACUUUGAUGAGAUCUCCGCUCUCGGCUUCCCCAUUGAAGCUAGCAAGCCUAUCUUACAACCCAACCAUUUGGCGAGGUCUCAUGCACCGACUAAGUUGUCGUCAUCGCUCUUGUGUCGUUGGUGGCUCUAUCUCGCGCUAGCCCCACACUAACUCUGCUGCUACCACAUCACUGCCAGCUCAAUCUUACUGUAUGAAUCAACUAGUUUUAGAAAACACAAACAACAACAUCAUACAACUAUGUUUUUAUCAAAUCAAAACCCCAAAUGUGUAAACAAUGCGCUCAAGAAAAAAUCUAGUUGUGAGAAGCAUCAAAUUCAAAGUUAGCAGUGAUAAAUUUCAGAAAAACCGCACAACUUUAUAAAAAAGGUGUGGAGCCAUAGUAGCCAUGCUAUUUCUACCUCACAUGAUUAAUUGUUAUUUUCAAAUCGAUCAUGUUGCACAUCUCAAGUCUGAAGUUGCACAAAAAGUUGUUUGCAACUUCUGGUUUAGAAACAACGCAGUCAUCUACAUGCACAUUCUUGAAAUCAAUGUUGCAUAGAGCAUAGAAAAUGUGGAACUACUCAUCUUCAGAAUCUACGUUCAAGAUCAUCAACUGAGAGAGAGAGAGAGAAUUUCAUGGUCACUUUUCCUCAUGGUAUUUGGCACUAGGAAAUCGAUUGUAUAUAUUAUGGUAUAGUGAUAUCUGAAUUGCAAUGAUUACUAGCUUUGCACAUGCCUUUUUUUCCUCGUCUAGAUCUAUACCACCUAACGACGAUUACAAGCAUUAAAGCGAGCCAGAGGCGCGUCACCUUUAUUGCCCCUCCCUCUCCGGAGUCGGACAACACAAUCAGAAAGUCAUCAUGCUAAGGCCGCAUAGAACAGCGCACCAAAAUAACAAUCGCCGCCGAUGAAGAAUAGCAUAGAUCGGAAGGAUCCAAUCCAAAGACACAUGAACGUAGACGAAUGACGACCAGAACCGAGCAAGAUCCACCAAAGAAAGAUCCGCUAGAGACACACCUCCACAUGCCCACCGACGAUGCUAGACGCACCACUGGGGCGGGGCUAGACGGGGAGAAUAUUAUUCCAUCUUCAGGGAGCUGCCUUCGUCUCGCCUUCUCGAGCAGGACGUAAACCCUAACAAAACUCAGAGAAAUAUCUAAAAACGGAGCCCUCCCGCAAGCAAAGGAAGGAAUCUACUGCGCCUCCAUGGCCCGAAGGCCAUUGGAGACGAGGCGGACUGGCAUCGACACAGGCGGGAGGUAAAGGAACCCUAAGCUUUUUUGGAGAGGAAGCGGAGGCUACGUAGACAACUCUGUGUUGCAUAUAUAUGUCGGAGGUGUAGUGGAGAAAGCCGCGCCACAGUUACUACUUUAAAAUUAAAUCAUCCGUGCGGAAUAUGCUGGUUCGAAGUGUCACUAGGCCAUCAAUAUAUUUUAAGCUAAUGAUGUUACAAAUACAUGUUUUAGACUGCAAUAUACUCUUCUAUUCAGUACGGUAAACUGUGUACACAGUAUGUCGAUUUUUUUUUGAGGAUGGUUAAUUUGUAUUUUCAACAUGCUUGGGGCUCUUCUUCCAUUCUAGAAUUUGGGGUGUGCUAAUCUCAUGCGUAUGGGACGUCCGUGCCAGCCAGUUGGUUGAGCAUAGAAGUUAUAUUGAUGUCCUAGCUGCAUGAUUGCCCUUCUGCAUGACAAAGUAAGGUAGAUUCAUCAAAGUUUUAUGGCUGCUCCAGCUAUAGUAGCUAUCAUAGUCAUAGCAGUAUAAAUACUAGGAACUUCACUGGUUUAACCGUCCAUGCUAUUGUAGUUGAGAGCUAUGAAGUGGAUACAUAUAUUUCCUUUGUAUAUUAGUAUAUGGUGGAGUAUGCAUGAAAUAUUGGAGUAUAACAAAAUACAACUUCUGUAACGACAUAGCUAAAGCUUGCUAAGCUGGUGCAGGGAGUCUUCUUCAUUAGUUGUGAGUGGAUCAUUGCCAGCAGUGUUGGAAAACAAGGUCGACCGACUUCCCAAUGGAUCCAAGCGAAAGCUCAGCUGUCCUCCCUUGAGGCCGGGGUACUCUUGCCCAAAUGGGAGCGUGGAGCAAUCUCGACACAGAUCAACAAGGAUGCGUCUAGUAGGCUGCACCCAGCCCAACCAGCCUCGCUGGAUGCAGUUUUUCUUUCGUGUUGGGCUGUUUGGUUGUAUGUAAUCAUUGUUGGGCUUACAUGGCAUGCUUCUUAAAACACCGUUUUGGCUGCAUCGUUAGCACAUAUUUUCUUCUAAGCACCUCUUUAAUUCCCUUCACCCCUUCUACACAACUGUGAUUCGAUUCGUGAUAAGCUGUACACGAAAAAUAUGCACCUCGAUGUUCUGAUUCCAUUCAGGCGAUCGAAUCAUAGUUUCGUUCACUCUAUAUGUUGAAUUUCGUGUUCAUAUUUGAAGCUUUCGCCGCUGGCCCCGGGAGGGAAAGCACGUUGUCGCCGCGCACCUGGACGCUGGCGUCGCGCUCCUCGGCGUCUGCAACGCCAUCGCUGCCCGCGUCCACCGCCUCCUUCGCCACCCAUCACUGUCCCCGUCCGACCUCGUCUCAUCGUCGCCCUUGUCCCCGUCCUCGCUUCGCCGGGCGCAGGCCGUCCUCGCCAAUCGCGACGGCUGCUGCGUGCCAGGGGCCACUCCCUCCCCUAGCCCCUGUCCUCGCUCCGCCGGGGCGCGGGCCGCCCUCGCCGGGGCCACUCCCUCCCCUGCACUGCUACCUUCCAUCCCGUUCGUCGACCCGCCCCACAACGGCCGCGGACAACAACUCACCGCCGUCGCGCGCGUCGUCCUCGCCGUCAACGCCGUCUAUCGUCGAGAGGAGGAGGCCGGCAAGGAGACACGGUAGACGGUGUUGGAGCUCCAAGGAGCCGACGGAGGAGUCGGUGAACAUUCUACUUUAACCUCUAUGCUCAGUGUAGUUGUUAACUCCUAAUCGCGAUGCAUGUAUACAACCAAACGCCGGGUAGAGGAGUCUUCCACGAUGCAGGCAAUCUAUAUGUAGGUAAUCAAUCAACAUGCAAACGUCGUAUUUUGGCCUGUAUCUACUCAACCAGACUCUGCUCAGCCUGUCCCUUUUUUUUUCUCAUGCAACCUUUAGAAAACAAUGCAGGUAACCAAACACAUCCUAAGUAUUUCAUGGUGUUCCAGAUGGCCGGUCCGGUUUUGGAAUCCGAUUAUGUACAUUUGAUCAUUGGCCGUUGAUAGCUUGGUUCGCACAUCAGGUGUGCGACGCCCACCGGUUUCACCAUCAUUACAGGCAGCCGCUUUAGCUCGUUCAGAUUAGUUCCAGUUAAUGCAAGAAACCGCAUAUAUAACCCUUAAUUUUUUUAGGAAAAAGUAUAUGUUUCGUCCCUUAAUUAUUUCGAAAAUAUAAAAAUGGUCCCUUAACUUUAAACUAGCAAACCUUAGUCCCUCAAACAAUUUCUGGAACCAGAUAAUUUUAAUCCCUCGUGCUGCUUUGUGUGGUUUUGACCGGGUCUACGUCCACGUGGCGAUCCCAGGUGUGGAUCUUCUUGUUCCUUAUCAUUCGAACUUGGCUAGGCAUUUCAUCAAGCAGUUGAUGCGCGUCCAGCACCAGGAGAAGGGCGUGGGCAUGGAGGCCUCCGGCGAGGUGGCUCUAGUCCUUGGAGAUGUCCGUAAGGCCGUUCGGGCGCUUCCCGCAGCGCGCCGCCCACGGGGUUGACGUGGAGGCUGCCGCCGCAUGUGUCCGACCCGCGGGCCGCACGCACAGCUCCGCCCUGACCUUGCUGUUGUACGAGCUCGCAUGUAUGCCGAGGCCAAGCUGUCGCGUGCGUCUGUGCCCGCUGGCUGCACGCACAACUCCGUCCCAACCCUGCUGACCUCGCCAUGCCUCGGCAUCCUGCACCUUCUCUGCAUCAGGAACCCGGCCUACAGCCAUCCCGCCGGCCCGCACCGUCGUGCACGUUCGAUGCCGCCACCCGCGAGUUCAUGAGUCCCGUCAUCACAACGCCCAGCAAUCACGGGCCACCACCUCGUCGCCCUCGCACACCGAGCGCAUCACGCAAAUCACGCGCACAGACAAGAGCAGCAACGUCAACCCAGCACGCAGCACGCACACUCAGCGCGAACGGUAGCACAUACACAAGCACAAAUCCUAGAGCUACUCAAUGCGCAGCAGCCCAUCAACUCCUGGUGGAGCGCGUCGCGUUCAGCCACAAGGAGCGUUGAGCGCAAGAGCUCAAGCAAGAAAUAGAGCCGUCGCGGCCGCCGGCCGGAGCGGGCGAGGGAGUGCAUGCUGCCGCGUGCCACCUUCGGAGCCAGGCUUGGUCAUCGGCGAGCUUCAGAGCACCGGCAUCCAGGGUGCCGACACACGAACCGUGUGCUAGCUGUUUGAGGUUGAAGAUGCUCAUUACAGUGGGGUUCAUAGGUAAGUCAGAGGGAUAAACAACAGGAAUUAAAGUUUAAAAAAUGGGGAGAGGUGGUGGGGCCCACACUUUGCCAAUCCGAGUCAAAAACCGCUCAAAGAUCGGCAGAAAACCACCCAAAGUUGCCCGAGGGACUAAACUUAUCCAGUUUAAAAAGUUAAGAGACUAAGUUUUGCUGAUUUUGAAGUUGAGGGACCAUUUGUAUAGUUUUGAAAUAAUCGAGGGAUGAAAAAAAUAUUUUUCCCUUUUAUUUAAACCGCAUCCCUGGGCGCACAAUACUGGUAGGCGUGAUAGGUGAAGUUACUAGGUCGGGUAGGUGGCUUUGUUACUGAUGCAGUCGCUCUUGUAAGUCUUAUUCUCCCAACCUAAGUGAAAAUGAAAGCCAUCCUUUGGUUACGUGUAUUUGAGAGAGAAAAAAAAAUGCAAGAAGCAGCAUGCUUGAUCUCGCAAACCUAUGCACUUGUACGCAGAAGCACGUUAAUUUUUGAUGAGACCAUGCUGAUGAAGAGGACGAGGCACGAACUGAAAGUUUGCAUGUUCUACUACACCAUGAAAACACUCCAAGUCUGACGUCCAACGAAAAAGUUUCAUCGAAACUACCUUGCGUACGAUUGUUUCCAUACGAUUUUCAUACGACAAGAGAGGCCCGCUUCUCAUGUUUGGGUCCACAACACCACAUUAGUCUGAUCGUCCAAAAGUUGUAUGUAUAGCAGCUCUCAAGUUUCAUCCUGUCAUGACUCCCGAUUCUCAUCCCAUCGGACGGUGCAUGCAUCUUCCACCGCCGCAUCAUUUAAUUCCUUAUAUGUGAGAUGUCAUUUUGUGAGGUGUCAUUUUAUUCCUUGAUGCAGAUAAUUCGGUGCUGCAUUGUAUAGUGACUUUUGGCUAUGUCAUCUUGUGGUAAAGUUUGGCGGAUAUUGUUCGGUCUCUUGCAAGCAUCUUUUUGUGUUCAGUCUUAUUGGACAAGAUUGGCUAUGUCAUCUUGUGAUUUUUCCACCCCAGGAGCUCAUUUUAAGUGAAGACGAUGCGGAUGACAAAUAGGUGACCUCGGACCAUGACCGGUACAAUAAUGUUUCUUCCAUAGUUUGAUGUCUGUAUCCAUAAAAAACACAAAGAAUCCCUACGAUAUCUUUCUUACGCAUGUCGCAUCUCAUAUCCGCCUAUCCAGUUCCAAUGCAAGAUUGAGCCUACCUUGAUGGGUUCAGGUGCGAUAUCAAUCCUUUGUGCCCAAGCCGCCUGGGUUCCAUCCCAUCCCGAUCCCAUCUGCCCCCGUGCCGCUCCCUCCCUGGGGCGNNNNNNNNNNNNNNNNNNNNNNNNNNNNNNNNNNNNNNNNNNNNNNNNNNNNNNNNNNNNNNNNNNNNNNNNNNNNNNNNNNNNNNNNNNNNNNNNNNNNNNNNNNNNNNNNNNNNNNNNNNNNNNNNNNNNNNNNNNNNNNNNNNNNNNNNNNNNNNNNNNNNNNNNNNNNNNNNNNNNNNNNNNNNNNNNNNNNNNNNNNNNNNNNNNNNNNNNNNNNNNNNNNNNNNNNNNNNNNNNNNNNNNNNNCGGUGGCCUCCGGCAGGCAAAGCCUGCGCGGAGCCGGCGGCGGCGGGGCUCGUGCUCCUCACCGGCUGCUCUUUUGAUGGGGAGAUCUCAGGCGGCUGGUGACUGUCCGGAGCUCGUCUUCACGACGGCGUCCUCGAUCGUGGCAGCGGUGGUCGCUGGCGCGCGACGCGGUGUCGCCACAAUGGGAGCUCUGUCGCGGGCUUGCGGUCGCGGUCUUGGCCGCCCGUGCGGGUCCGAUCUGGAUCCUCGCGGGCCGCGGCUGGCGCGGAUGGUGGAGGCGAGAUUCGGGCUCGGCCGACGUGCUGUUCGCCGGAUCUGGUAUGGCGCGGUGCUGCGGCUCAGCACGCGGGCUGGUGGUGGCACCGGCUGUAGGUAUCGUGGUGGUGCGAUGGCCGGUCAGGCAGCGGUGGCCUGGACCCUUUUCGUCCAAGCCCCGACACAGAUGGAGGCGGACCGUGCACGACAUGCCUGAGGGAGGCUCUUCGAACAGAUCCAGGUGAAAACCUGCUCUCAGCUAGCUGCCAAGGCCGGCGGUGGCGGCGCUGUCUGCGUCGUUCCCUUCUUAAAGGCAUCGCCGUGGAGAAGUUCAAGGCCACUCUCUGCUACCUCCGGGGGAACCCUAGAUUAGUAGAUCGGAUGACGGCGGCGCUUUGGUGUCGUUUCCCUCUGGGGGCGUCAUUCUUGGAGGUGUACAUGGGCCGAGGGACCAGUGGAAGGCUUCUUUGGUGGAGCGGUGCUUCAGCUUAUGCAUUGAUGGCGGCGGAUUUCGGCGGCAUGGCGCAGUGGAGAUUCGGCGUCCGAUGCGCGGAGAUGGACUCGCGCAGGAGGAGAAAACUGUCUGGCGUCAUGGUGGCGUCGAUGACAGGGAGGCCUGACAAGGUCGGUGCAUCAGUUCUGCUCUGAGGAUGGAUCGAUGGAAGAUGGAGGUGACGGCCCUCGCAGCGUGCGGUGCUCACUGAGAGUGUGCUAGACCGGUGUGUGACACAAUCCAGGCAGUGGCCUGGAUGGGGCAUCCGGCUUUAGAUGUUAGGCUUUGGUGCGAUGUCUGUUUGGUAUUAGGCCGGACAUUCGGCACACCUUCAUCAAGGGGAUAAGAGUAGCAACAACGUUGCCAAGAUGGUGGCUUCAGGCUUAUUGAUGUAUCACCUUGUAUAGUCUUUGUGAACAAUUAAUAAAAUGGCUGCAUGCAUUGUCCAGAUGCAGAGGCCGGGGUACAUCCCCUUUUCAAAAAAAAAAAACAUUAUGGCUUGAUUGCAAUGUCGGCCCAGAUAAAGCUGUUGCUGUUGAAGGUGUCGCCGAAGCGCCAUUUUGAACAGGGAAGGAGAUGGCAAGGAUGGCGUUUCACUGCCAGUUCUCCCCGCCCCAGGGCUGGGCGACAUGGACACGGGAAAGGAGGACUGCUUGACUUGCAGAUGCAGUAAUUCAUUUGGUGGAAUGUAAUUCGCUUCCUGCUGUACUUUGUGGUGGCCAACGUCAUGUUAUUAAUGUAUGUACAAAUGCCUGUGCCAUCGAAGUUUCUUUCACUGAUGUACUGGAAAUGUGGAUUUUUUCUCUCGAUGUAGCGUGUACUCCAAUAUACAUCAUACUCUGUUCCAACAGAUCUCAGUGUGGUUUAUUACUCUGCUUUGAGCAAAGUGUGCUAGCAUUAUUUGUAAUUAGUUGUGCUUAUAAUUUGUUAGUAUUAUUUGCAAUAAGCUGUCGUACUAAUUUACAAAGACGAUAUGUAACUGUGUAUUGCAUACUCCUAUAACUAAAUGACAAGUAUUGUGAUAACAAAAAAGGUCUUGCCACGCUUCUCCACUUAUCAAGCACGCUUGUCUGUUAGUCGGUUGAGCAUAGAAGUUAUAUGAUGGUUCUAACUGUCCUGAUCUGCAUGCCAGUUAGUUAGUUUCACCCAAGUCAUAUGACAUAUUACCAAUCCUAGUAGUGUAAAUACUUCUCUAAAAAAGCUAGUAUAGAUACUAAGCGCUUCUCCACAUCUAAGCUGUACAGCUCCACUGAUGUUGAGGAUUAAUUUGAUACAUAUAUUUCUCUAUAUUUAAGAGAGUAUGAGAUAUUGGGGUAUACCAAAAGAUAGAAGGUUCAAGGUUUCGAUUGUCUCUGCAGCAGCACUAAUGUCUCCUCUUCCCGCUAGUAUUUCUUUUUCUGGUGGACGUUUCAAGCUGCAAUGCAUCAGACUGGAAGCUAUUAAGCCGCUUUGCGUCGUCCACAUCUGGAAGCUUUGGCCAGGAAUGCCACGACCAAGGACGCGGUGCUGCUGUGCUGUCCGUUUUGAUGGGCCAUCCUCGAGUUGCCCCUUCCAAAGCAAUCUGCUCGCUGGUGGUGGUCAUCGACGUCCUCCGUGCGGCCGCGUGGAAGGCUACAUAUUGUUGUUUCUCGCUUGUCGUCGUGGAAUUUGUUGUAGUGCUGUCCACGAAACUGCCAUUGUUGCCACUGGUCUUUUGCAUGUAGGGAACCCAGUCUGUGCAGGUACUGCUAGCACUUGUGAUUGCUGCACAAAUAGGUGCUUUAUUACUUGCAUAUUCUUCUAGUCUGCCUCGCACCUUGUGAGUCAUGGAAGAUAAAAGUGCAGAGACGUCAGAGGUUCCAGUGUCGACAAAUUAUGGGAGAGUAUGCAUAAAUUGUUUGCUGAGCUUGUUGAGCAAUCCCAACAAAAAACUAAACAAACCAUCACUUUGGAGCCUAAUCCGGUCAAGUUUUCUGGACCCCAUAAUUAUUUCAGUUGGUCACGGCAUGCGACUCUGAUUUAGGAUCUCAUGGUCUGAAACAUUUUAUAGACGCCCUCGCAAAAGAAAAACAUUUUACAGACGGAACGUUUGUGAAACCAGAUGAUAAAGUUGAGUUAGAGCAAUUUUAAAUUGAACGAGCUCCAUGUUUUGGCGUGGUUCUUGGGGUCGAUGGAACCUUCAGUUGGUGAGCAGGUUGAGAAUCUACAAACUGCAGCAGAAGCGUAAAAGGAAAUUGAACAAUAACUCUUGGGGAAAACAAACAUAAUGAAGUGACACGAGUGCUCCAUGAGAUGAGAUGAAACAAGGUGAGAGGUGUAUAUAACUAACAAAUGGAAGAAAAAUACAUACUCGUAUAUCAUUAAAGGGUCUUCUAUUUAACUGCCACAGAACAUCCAAAACUACAAUUGCACACUGGUGAAUAUUGAUGUGCAAAUUAGUCGAUUUAAAAUUAAAAGGGAAUUCCGGUUUUUACCCCCUAUUUUAACAUUUUUGACACUAAUUAGCCCAUUUAACGGGAUUUAAUCCGUUUUACCCUAUUUAGCAACAGUGUUGCCACAAUUUACCCUGUUCAAAAUUUUGUGGGUGUUCUGGUCGAUGGGUCCCAAUUGUAAGGUCCAGCUGGCAUGCCACAUAGGCGGAUUCUUUUCCUGAUGGUUUUCCUGCACGCCGAAUCACAUUGCCUAGCUUCUCCCGACCGGCCAACCUCGAUAUGAUCGCACCAGAGUAGCUCGUCGGAUGGCCAAGUCGCCCAGGUCGGGCCGCACCACAUUGGGCUCCAUUAUUCACGGCACACAUCACUCGCAUUCUAUUUGCAUGCAUGAUCCUACCCUAGUCUGACCCAAAACCACUGCCUCAUUCGUUAGGAGGGGGUAGGAAGACGUAGGCGACAACGGUAGGCAAGACUUCAAGGUGUGGCCGCUGGCGGUCGUUGGAGCAAACAACAACUAGUACGGCAAUCUUCUCCCAUCCCAUGCAUGCUGCAUCCUAUGUUUGUCACCCCUGGUGGUUAGGUUUUCUGUGGCUAGAUUUUCUCUCAGUCUAGGAUGCAUAUUAGAUAGGUUUAGGCUACUCGUUUCCAGUUCGAAGAAGUAUUGUGAUGAGAUGACUGUACUUGAUCAGCAUGGCAUGUUGCCAUUGAAUAAAUUAUAGGAGGAACUGUUGCUGAUAUAAUAUGAAAUCACAUAUAUUUUUCUUUAGUGUUAACAUAUACAACCUGAAGUAUGAAUGAUUCUGUGGAUCAGAUUAAAAAUAGUGUAAAUAGACCGCUUCACUAACUCUGAUGCGUACAUAUCCACAUACCUACACUACUGGGGAAAGUGCUUAUAGGUGAUCACAAAUCAGUGACGGGUGGGACGGGUCAGCCGCCACAGCUACUUUGAAAAGUUAGCCGUGGCGGGUGCUAAAGAGUGCCCACCACAAGUUGUUCAGAAGCAGUGGCGGGCAUUUUUCGCUGCCUGCCACACGUACGGUCUCUUCAUAUUUUUUUUGUAUAACUCACCUGUGGCGGGCGUGUCGCAAUGCCCGCCACAGCUACAUGCCCUGGCAGUGGCGGGCAGUUUCUUCUGACCGUCACAAGUUGACCUUGCACGAUGAACACUGAUGACAACAUAUUGCGGUGGCGUGUAAAUAAGCACGCCCGCCACAGGUAGACCCGUUCACUACCUACAUUGCAGUUUUCCCCGGUCGUCUCCCCCCCCCAAAACCACCCUUCCCUCUCCCGUAAACGCAAUUUCAAAUCUCUCCGCCGCUCUCGCCCCCAAACCCCGUGCCUCGUCGCCACCCGGCCUCUGGUGCGAUCAUAUCGAGCUGGCUAGUUGGGAGAAGCUAGGGUGAUCUGGUCAGCGUGUAGAAAACCAUCAAGAAAAAACCCGGCGAUUUGGCAUUCUAGCUGGACCUUACAAUUCAGACCCAUUGGUCAGAAUGCUCACAAAAGUUUAAACAGGGUAAAUUGUGGCAAACUUUUUCUAAAUGGGGUAAAACGGAUGGAACCCCGCUAAAUGGGGUAAUUGGUGUAAGAAAUGUCAAAAUACGGGGUUCUAAAAUUAAUCAGCCAGUCUAGAGAAAUCUUCUGAUAAUAAUUAAAUUAGUUAUUCAUAAAGUUUAGAAUGUUUUAUAUCUUAAGAAAAAUUGAUAACAUGGUCACUAACUUAAAACGCUGGAAAAAGAAUAACAAGAUUUUCAGACUAAAUGCCGGGAAGUACACAAUAUGGCAGGUAGCAAGGAUUGCUCUAGAGACACUGCCUUUGAGUUCCUGCUCAUCUCUUUGUACAUAAGAGAGUGGGAACAACAGACAAGUGCAUGCAAGUCUGUUACUUUCAUUUGGCGAUUCCUCUCAAGCAUUGAAUGCACUCGUCUGCAAUCCGCUUAGCAUAGAAUUUGUAUGACUGGUCUAGCUGUAUAUGACUUUCCUGAUCUGCAUGAUUAAGUUAGUUAGGCUCAUCUAAAUCGUAUGGCAUAUAGCUGUAGUAGUAAUGCUAGUAGUAUAAAUACCGUUAACUUCUCCACACUUCUCCACAUUGCACCCAUUCUCAAUUCUACUGCAUAUAUUUCCCUAUAUUUCCCUAUAUUUAGUAGUGUAUGAGAUAUUGGAGUACACCAAAAGGUAGAAGGUUUGAGGUUCCGGCUGUAUCCUAUAUUAUGAUUAAAAUAUUGUCUUCCCACUAAUGUCUGCUUCUCUUGUGGACGCCAGUGUGCGGUGGCGUGCAGUCUGUGCACCUUAUGUUGGUGAAUCGAAGUCUGAAUAGGCUAGUUACUAUCACAUCCAUUUUGGCACAACAAGGAUGAAUUAUUCAACGAUUGAUGGCAAAGGCAGUUGAUAGCAACUCAAAUACACACCACACGUGCAAUAUCUCCAUUGUUGACCAAGAUCCCGGUGCCGCACCAAGGAUUCCUGGGUGCAUCCAAGCGCGGCGGAACGCCAUGGUUGUGCUUUCGGGUCACGAACCACAGUUCAGACCUCCCUCCCAAUCGCAUCAUGUGUGCCCACGCAAUCACCUG
rnacentral:lncRNA from 1 species